rnacentral:lncRNA from 1 species
UUUUCUUCUUCCUCCUUUAUGGGCGUAGUUUGGGAUUUACUCACUAUAUUUUCUAUUCUGGUAGUUUGUCUACCGAUGGAUUAGAGGCAUAAAUUAGUAUAAUUGUUUUGUUUGAUUAUAUGUGGGAUAACUUCUAUCUUAUGACUAUGUGUUCAUUAUCCUUUGGAAUUAAUUUAUAUGGGGUGGCUUUUGUUUCUGGUUUCUCCUUUAAUGUUCCUUUUAUUUGGAGAUUUCUUUCAGUAGGGUGACUUGUUUGGUAGAGUUGAUAUUGAUUUUCCACUGCAUUUAGUUCAAAAUUAGGUACUAGAAUGCCUUUCUCUUCUAGGGUAGCUUUUAACCAUAUGAAAAAUCCUAUAUUUUGUUUAUUCCUUUUUACAAAUUUAUUAUAUCUUUUAUGCAGGGCGUCUAGCAUUUCCUUAGGAAAUUAUGCUAAAUACCAAUCUCACAUAUCUUUAUUUUCCUUAGAAAGAUAGUCAUUUUUUAACGAAUUGAUAUCCAUUUUAAAUUUUCUUUCUUCUUGAAUGGUUAAAAUAUUGAAAUCUAGGUCAGAGAAUGUAAGCUCAUUCCCAGAUAAAUUUGAUUCAUAGGUUUUAUAAACUGGUAUAUGAAUAUUACUAUUAGUUCUAGUUAAUCCUUCUAUUAUUGGUUUAUCAUGAAUAGAAGAGGUAGAGUGCCUAGAAGGAGUAGGUACCAUAUUAGGGGUUCUACUAAUUCCUUCAGAAAAGUUUAGUCUGUUCCUUCUAUUAGAGUUAAAUUGUAUUUCAAUAUUACCAUCAGGAUAUUCUAUUAUUUGGUCUGGUUCACGGUUAACUGGAGUUUUGUAGUGCUGUUUCUCAUUAUGUAUAGACCAAUUAUCUAGCAAUGUAAUUUGUGACCAGGUUACCGCCCUAGGAACAAUAGUAUUAGAUUUUUCAAUGUGCGUUUGAAAGAAUACUGUUUUUCCUUUGGUGUCCAUCUGAAGGACAUUUGGGUUCAAGGUGUUCAUCAUCUUAUAACAUAUCCUAUAUAUUGAAGCAAUAUUUUGGGAACCAGGGUUCUUGUCAAACCCUUGUGUUUUUAAGUUUAAAGUGAGGACUUUUAGAAGGUUGGGAUCGGUUAGAGAAACAGAAAAAUUAGGGAAGCAAUUAAAGUAUAUGGGACCAUUACAUAGGCUGGACUCGACUACUCCAAGUAGGGAAUCAGAAAAUUUGUUAUGCCUACUAUCCCUUAAACAUAAUAAUAUAGAAUUGUUUAGUCCUAGCCUAAUUAAUGGUUUAAUUGCUAUUUGGAUUAAUCUUAUAUGUAGAUAUUUAUAUUCCUCAAGCUUAUGUUUUUGUAACAUUUUCUCAGACAAUUGCUGGAAUCCUUCUUGUUCAAUAUUGACAAAGAUUCUUUGUUCAACUUUUUUUAUAGCAUAACUAGUUUUGAAUUCAAAUGUACCUUGUUUAUCUAUGUCUGUAAUAGGAACCUUGGGUAUGUUCCAAUUAUGUAUUUGUUUUUUGAUAUUAUUAAUAAUUAUUUCUUCACUAUUCUUAAUUCUAAGUGUACUGUUGGAUGAUGAUGCUGUUUUAUUGGACAACGUCCUGAUAAAAUUUUCCAUUAAGGUAACGGAUGAGUACACGAGUCAACCUCUUACAAUCCCUAUGCCUCAGCGGCUUUCUCUGGCCUUAAACGACAGUACGGGUUUGGGCGACUUUGGUCUCAACUCUCGGACUUACCUCUUAUGGUAAAUUUUAUUAAGCUUUUGCCUUUUAAAAUAGUAUUCUUCUUACAGUUCACUACUAUGAAGUACUUGGCUCUGAUACCAAACUACCCAAGAUCUAUUCUGAAGCCUAAUUCUAGGUCUAUUUUUACAACACUUAGAACUAAAUCCGAUAACAAUAUCAGUUGAGCAUAUAUCUAAUAUAUCUGAUAUAAAAGAAAGCAAUUAUCAGAGUAAACAAUAAUGAAGGAGAAAUAUCAAGAACAACCCAAUUUAUAUAAGUAAUAGAUCUAAUUUUUAUACUAACAAUAUACUUUAUUUGCAUAGGGGUAAAUUUUCAUUAAAAUACAGAAGAGUACUUACAUUUUACAGAUACAGAAACUGGUGAAGAGCUUCUACUCCUCAGGAUAAUGACUCGGCAAAUUAUUGAGAUUACAAUCACACAUAUAAACUAUCAAACACUCAAAUUCGGAGUGGUUAUAGACACACCACCCGAUAUACAGUAUUUAAACAAAGAAUAGAUUUUCAGAGAAGAUAGUGAGCUUACAGAAGAGAAUGUAGUAGAUUAGAAAGGAAAAGAGAUUAGCUUUAGGGAAGAGAAUAGAGUGGCAGAUAGAAGAGAACAGUUCAAUGGGGAGGAUUAAAACAGAGAAGGGAAUAGUGUUUUUCAGAACAGAGAGAAGAACAGUAUAUUUGCAUAACAGAAAGUUGAAUAGUAUAUUUACUGAACAGAGAGAAGAACAAUAUAUUUGCAGAACAGAGAGAAGAACAGUAUAUUUGCAGAACAGAGAGAAGAACAGUAUAUUUGCAGAACAGAGAGAAGAACAGUAUAUUUGCAGAACAGAGAGAAGAACAGUAUAUUUGUAGAAUAGAGAGAAGAACAAUAUAUUUAUUACCCGGGAGCUCAGAGAUGUGACGAGUGAAAACACAACUUAUUGGUGAGUAGAGUCUUGGAGGGUGAAGCUCAGACUUGCAGAGGUUUAAGAGGAGAGGAAGGCUUGAACCUCAAGAUAGAACAGAUUUUUUCCCAUUGGCAAGCAAUCCUUUCUUCCUUUGAUUUUGAUAUAGAACAUAUUAAGGGCACUACUAACUUCUUUCCUGACUUUUUAACGCGUGAAUUUUUGCAGGGGGACCGGGAUAGAAAGACAAACAGAGAUAGACGAAUAGUACUGAAUACAAAUACGAGUAAAGGAAAAGAAAUGGUUCCAUCAUCGUCUGGAAGCCCCCUGAUACAUUCCCCAAUAACUCCAAACCAACUGUUAACAGGGCACGUGCAAAAUCUUGUCUCCUCUUCUAGCCCAGUUAAAAUUCUAGCAUCAGAAAAAUCACUAUUUAUAGAAACUACUUUCAUUUCUGAUAUAUAUUAGAGGAUAAACACAUGGACAUGGAUCCAGUUGAUUUGGCCAAUCUAUAUUAAAUAAACCAUUUAAACCCUUCCAAUAGCAAUAAGACUAGGGAAUGGUAUGAGUCCAUUCUUCUAGAACCGGCUCUAUAACCCUAGUACAUUUUUGCCAAAAGAAUACAAAUUCAUUUGCCUAUUCCAAAUUCCAGAUAAGAAAGAUAAUUACCUAUAAAGAAUGGGGAAUGGACCCCACAAGGAGCAGAAAGCUUACUGCAUCCGAAUUUAAUAAUAAAUAUUACCGGUAUUAUGAAUAUAUGGAUGCCUGGCAUAAAGUCUUAUCUCUUCAAAAUAAUACCAAUUCCCACACUUGGUUUAUACAGAUAAAACUACCAGUAGUAACUAGAUUUCCAAAUUGGUUUAAAAUCUGGUUCCAGAUUUGGGGAUCUCUGAGAUAUUGCCACAAAAGAUACAACUUUCUCAACAAAAGUUCGCUGAAUAUAAUAAUAAAAACCCCAAAAUAGACCUACACUUAUAUUUCAUGGCCUAUUAUCAGAUUCCAUGGAUCAUGAAAUGGUCCUAUGCAAUAACAGAUGACUAUACCCACAAUUGCGAAUACAUCCCGAAAUUAUGAAAACAAGUCUAUAUUAAAUGGUGGGAUGUCUAUGAAAAUAAAGCAAUAGACCCUGAAAAUAUAAAUUAGAGAAAAAUUCCUACCCCAAUACAAGAGAAAAAAGAGGACCACUUUGCUGACUAUAUAAGCAAAAUGAAGCAGCAGAACCCAACUGCUACUAAAGAAGAAUUGAAGAGAAAAUUAUUACAAAUGUUCGAAGAACAAGAAGAAGCAAUGUCAACCUCAACAGUAAAUGAAGAAUAAGAUUAUGCAAUAGAAAAUGAAGGCUGUGAGUUGAUACAGCCAAGGAUCGAAUUUUCCUGAAGCACCCGAAAAAGCCCGACAUAAAAGCCCAAUAAAGCCAUCAAUAAUGAUAAGCCAUCACUAUUAGCAGAUUCUCUUUGUCUGCCACCUGUUCGGCAAUAGAGUCCAUUUGUCGCCACUAACCACUACAAGACAAGCCACCGACGCAUCUUACUAUUCCUGGAUACCACUGUACCACCACCUGUCAAGAUUUGCCGACAGCUGUUACUAUUCGACGCACCUGCCGACAACCACCGACAAACGUUUACUGUGCUGAGAUGCUAUUGUACGCCUUUUGAUCACCUCCGACCACUAUGCUACCCUCUUUUAGUCAUUUCAUCGGUCAUGAGCUGGCAUCCACCUUUAGGCCAGAAAUAAUUAGGACUUGAGGUCUGGAGGCUAUAAAAGGGGACCUCGUCAAUGCAAAGGGCAUCCGGAGUUGGUUCUCUUCUGCUCUCUUCUGCUCUCUCCUGCUCUUAUUGAUAAUAUCGAAAAACAAAUACAUAAUUGGAACAUACCCAAGGUUCCUAUUACAGACAUAUAUAAAAAGGUACAUUUGAAUUCAAAACUUGUUAUGCUAUAAAAACAGUUGAACAAAGUAUCUCUGUCAAUAAUGAACGAGAAGGCUUCCAGCUAUUGUCUGAGAAAAUGUUACAAAAACAUAAGCUUGAGGAAUAUAAAUAUCUACAUAUAGGAUUAAUCCAAAUAGCAGUUAAACCAUUAACUAGGCUAGGACUAAACAAUUCUAUAUUAUUAUGUUUAAGGGAUCGUCGGCAUAACAAAUUUUCUUAUUCGCUACUUGGAGUAAUCGAGUCCAGCCUUUGUAAUAGUCCCAUAUACUUUAAUUGCUUCCCUAAUUUUUCUGUUUCUCUAACUGAUCCCAACCUUCUAAAAGUCCUCACUUUAAACUUAAAAACACAAGGGUUUGACAUGAACCCAGGUUCCCAAAAUAUUGCUUUAAUAUAUAUGAUAUGUUAUAAGGUGAUGAUCACCUUAAACCCAAAUGUCCUCCAGAUGGACACCAAAGGGCAAACAAUAUUCUUUCAAACCAACAUCAAAAAAUCUAAUACUGUUGUUCCUAGGGCGGUAACCUGGUCACAAAUUACAUUGCCUGUCUAUACAUAAUGAGAGCCAACACUACAGAACACCAGUUAACCGUGAACCAUAUCAAAUAAUAGAAUAUCCUUAUGGUAGUAUUGAAAUACAAUUUAACUCUAAUAGAAGGACCAGACUAAAAUUUUUUGAAGGAAUUAGUAGAACCCCUAGUAUGAUACCUACUCCUUCUAGGCACUCUACCUCUUCUAUUCAUGAUAAACCAAUAAUAAAUGGAUUAAUUAGAACUAAUAGUAAUAUUCAUAUACCAGUUUAUUAAAUCUAUGAAUCAAAUUUAUCUGGGAAUUAGCCUACAUUCUUUGACCUAGAUUUCAAUGUUUUAACCCUUCAGGAAGAAAGAAAAUUUAAAAUGGAUAUCAAUUCGUUAAAAAAUGACUAUCUUUCUAAGGAAAAUAAAGAUAUGAGAGAUUGGUAUUUGACAGAAUUUCCUAAGGAAAUGCUAGACGCCCUACAUAAAUGAUAUAAUAAAUUUGUAAAAAGGAAUAAACAAAAUAUAGGAUUUUUUAUUUGGUUAAAAGCCCUAGAAGAGAAAGGCAUUCUAGUACCUAAUUUUGAAUUAAAUGUAGUGGAAAAUCAAUAUCAAGUCUACCAAACAAGUGAAGGAGAGGAAAUACAAAGCAUACACCCUCCUGAAAGAAAUCUCCAAAUAACAGGAACAUUAAAGGAGAAACCAGAAACAAAAGCCUCCCCAUAUAAAUUAAUUCCAAAGGAUAAUGAACAUCAUAGUCAUAAGAUUGAAGUUAUCCCACAUAUAAUCGAACAAAACAAUUAUACUAAUUUAUCCCUCCAAUCCAUCGGUAGGCAAACUACCAGAAUUGAAAAUAUAGUGAGUAAAUCCCAAUCUAAGACCAUAAAGGAGGAAGAAGAAAAAACAAAGGCCGUCUUAUUUAAACCUCCUCUGGAGCUAAAUAAAGGAAGAUUCAGCUUGGAAGGAAUUAAGAAAAAGGAAGAAAAUAAAAAAUUAGUUGAUGAACUAAUAAAAAAGCUGUCCAAGCUUAACAUAAAAGAAGAUAGAAAAGGGAAAGGCGUUAUAGUUGAAUUUGAAGCUUUAGUAUUACAGGAAGACCUAGCCAAUGAUGGAAUACAAAAUAUGGAAAAAGCCUUUAAAGAAGAUAAUUUUGGCCAAAGCAUCAAUAGAAUAGACUAUGGACGGAAAUGGAGGCCAAAGGCCCAAUCAAUGAUGUACCAUACUAGGCCAACCCCAGUAGAUAUACAGUUUGAAGAAUAUCUGAUUUCAAGUACUGUAUCUUACUCGGGAAGAACAAUUGUCAAUUGGAAUAUCGAUGGUAUGUCUUAUCAUCAGAUAUUAGAUAUUAUGAAACAUAUGACCAUGUAUGCCACUGCUUAUAAAGUAGUAGGAAACCAUGACCAAGAGGUAGCUAAGGCUAUCGUUUGUGGCUUCACAGGAUGGUUAAGAGGUUGGAAGUGAAACCGCUAAACAACAGUUACUAACUGCUACAAAACAGUGGACUGUAAGAAAUGAAUAUAGUCAAGAUAUACCGCAUAGUGAAAGUGAUUGCGUAAAUACACUCAUUUAUACAAUAACCCUACAUUUUUUAGGAAGUACUUCUUUGCUAGAUUCCAAGUCUGAAGAGCUAUUAUCCAACCUAAGAUUUCCAACUUUAUCUCACUACAAAUGGUAUAAAGACGUAUUCUUUUCUCGCCUUUUUUCCCGAGAAGACAGUAGUGCGGACCUGGAAAGAGAAGUUCAUAGCAAGCUUACCAUACUUGUUUGCUGAGAAGGUCAAAACUAGGUUGAAAAAUAAAAAUGGAGGAAUAAUACCAUAUUCCCUUUAUAGUCUAGGAGAACUCUAUGCAGAAAUAUGUGCAGAAGGACUUGCCCUGUGUACUGAUUUAAAACGAAAACGACAAUUAGAUAAACAGAGAAUGAUGGGCAAAAAGGAACUAGGUGAUUACUGUGAACAAUUCGACUAUAAUACUAUACCUCUAUCUGAUAAACCCCAUAAAAGAAAAAAUAAAAUUAAAAAGUAUAAACCAGGUCAGAAAAAUAGUAAUAAGGAAAAAUUUACCAAAACGUUUGUCCCAAAAUAAUAAUUUUAAAAGAACUAAAGGUAAAAGAAAAUUACCAGUGUGUUAUAAUUGUGGAAAAGUAGGACAUUAUAAAAAUAAAUGUAAAAUAAAAAAGAAAAUAAAUGCUUUGCAAUUAGAAGAUGAAAUUAAACAUCCAUUAUAUCAAAUUUUGCAAAUUGAUGAGGAAUCUGAAGUAAGCUCACAAAGUUUUGACUCUGAACCUCUGCUUGGAGAAAUAGAGGAUGAAAGUCUAAUAUUUAGUAGCUCGGAUUCUGACAAAGAUAUGGAAAUAGAAGAUUGUUUUUGUCAUACUCUUACCGAAGAGGAUAAUCUAAUUAUAGAAAUAAUCGAUAAGAUAACUGAUCCAGAUGCAAAGAAAGAAGCUUUAACCGAAUUUAUUCAAAUAGCUAAAAUAAAAAGGAGACCGCCUCCUCUUGUGAAAACUCAAGAAGAUUACAGCUUAGCAGAAAUUCUGAAAAGAAUAAAAAAAAAGGAUAGUAUUUAGAAAGAACCAUCCAUUGCUGAGCUUAAGCAUGAAAUAAUGGAAGUAAAAAAUGAAUUAACAGUCCUUAAAAAUAGAAUAAGAGUUUUAGAACUGGCAUCAAAUAUCCAAGAUACUCCUGUAGAUACAGAUGAAGAAUUAGAAUUUGAUAAUAUUAUAAACAACUGUAAAAGACCAUUAUCUCCCAUAAAUGAGACGCAAGAAUCUUCUCGUUCAGAUCAAAAUAUUGUGCAAACAGAUGAUAAUAUAAACCUACUUAACAAAGGAGUCACACAAAAAAGGUUUGUCCUAAUAAAAAUAAUAGUUAAUAGAGAAUAUAAUUUUCAGUCCCUAGCAUUAAUAGACUCAGGAGCGGAUCUCAAUUGCAUAAAUGAAGGCUUAGCUCCUACCAAAUACUUUAGUAAGACAACUCAAAUACUGAAUACUGCAGACGACAGUAGACUAAUUAUAAAUUAUAAAUUACCAAAAGCUACAAUAUAUAAUAAUGGUAAUUGCCUUGAAAUGCCUUUUAUAAUGGUCAAAGGAUUAAGCCAAGCUGUAAUACUUGGAACACCUUUUUUGAAUUUAUUAUAUCCAAUAAAAAUUGAUAGUACAUGAAUUGAAUCUAAUAUUAGAGGUCGUAAUAUUAAAUUUGAAUUUAUUGACUAACCAAAAAUAAAAUAAAUAAAUAAUGUCAAACAAACUUUAGAAAAUAAAAAAAGUUCUUAUAUUAUCUAAAAGAAGAAAUAACAUAUAAACAAAUAAAUGGAAAACUUACUCUCCCAGAAAAUAUUAAAAAAAUUACUGAUAUAAAGAAAAGAAUAGAAACAGAGAUAUGAGCUGACCUGCCAAAUGCAUUAUGGAAUAAGAAAAAACAUAUAGUAAGGUUGCCAUAUGAAGAAAAUUUUGAUGAAAGUAAUAUUCCCACUAAGGCAAGGCCCAUUCAAAUGAAUCCGAGACUUCUUGAAAUCUGCAAAAAAGAAAUUGAGGUAUUACUUCAGAAGCAGCUAAUCAGGAAAAGUUCGUCACCAUGGAGCUGUUCAGGUUUUUAUGUUGAGAAUGCCUCAGAAAAAGAAAGAGGAGUACUUAGACUGGUAAUAAACUAUAAGCCGUUGAAUAAGGUACUCAAUUAGGUAAGAUGUCCUAUUUCAAAUAAGAAAGAUCUACUUGAUAGACUCGUAAAUACUUGUAUAUUUUCUAAAUUUGAUCUAAAUUUAGGAUACUGGCAAAUACAAAUCUCUGAAAAAGAUAGAUAUCAGACUGUUUUCAAUGUCCCAUUCGGACAAUACGAAUGGAAUGUGAUGCCCUUUGGACUUAAAAACGCUCCUUCCGAAUUUCAAAAUAUUAUGAAUGAUGUUUUUAAUCCUUAUAUAAAAUUUAUGAUUGUAUAUAUAGAUGAUAUUUUGAUAUUUUCAGACUCUUUUGAACAACAUAUUAACUAUAUAAAUAUUUUCAUAAAUGCAAUCAAAGCAGCAGGUUUGGUAGUCUCUGCUAAAAAGAUUAGCCUGUGCCAAACCAAGAUAAGAUUUUUGGGUCACAAUAUAUUCCAAGGAAGUAUUAUUCCAAUAGAUAGAGUUAUAGAAUUUGCUAGUAAAUUUCCAGAUAUUAUUUUGGAUAAAAUUGAACCGCAAAGGUUUUUUGGUUGUUUGAAUUAUAUCUUAGAUUUUUAUGAAAAUUUAGCCAUUGAUGCUAAACCCUUAUUUGAAAGGUUAAAAAAGAAUCCACCAAAAUGGGCUGAUGAACAUACUUCAGCAGUUCGAAAAAUAAGCAAUAAAGUUAGAGAACUACCUUGUCUCUCACUUUCCAAUCCUGAUGCUUUUAAAAUUAUUGAAUGCGAUACUUUCGAAAUUGGAUUAAGAGGUAUAUUAAAACAAAAAAUAGAUAAAACAGAACAUUUAGUUCGAUUCACCUCCAAAGCCUGGAAUAAAACACAGAAAAAUUGUUCUACAGUUAAAAAAGAGAUUUUGGCAAUAGUACACUGUGUUACAAACAGAGAUAGACGAAUAGUACUGAAUACAAAUACGAGUAAAGGAAAAGAAAUAGUUUCAUCCUCGUCUGGAAGCCCCCUAAUACAUUCCCCAAUAACUCCAAACCAAUUGUUAACAAGGCAAGUGCAAAAUCUUGUCUCUUCUCCUUGCCCAGUUAAAAUCUCAGCAUUAGAAAAAUCACUAUGUAUAGAAACUACUUUCAUUUCUGAUAUAAUAUUAGAGGAUGAACACAUAGACAUGGAUCCAAUUGAUUUGGCCAAUCUAUAUUUAAUAAACCAUUUAAACCUUUCCAAUAUCAAUAAGACUAGGGAAUGGUAUGAGGCCAUUCUUCUAGAAACCGACUCUAUAACCCUAGUACAUUUUUGCCUAAAGAAUACAAAUACAAUUGCCUAUUCCAAAUUCCAGAUAAGAAAGAUAAUUACUUAUAAAGAAUGGGGAAUGGAUCCCACAAGGAGCAGAAAGCUUAAUGCAUCAUAAUUUAAUAAUAACUAUUACAGGUAUUCUGAAUAUAUAGAUGCCUGGCAUAAAGUCUUCUCUCUUCAAAAUAAUACCAAUUCCCACACUUGGUUUAUAUAGAUAAAACUACCAGUAGUAACUGGAUUUCCAAAUUUGUUUAAAUAUGGUUCCACGUUUGGGGAUCUGGAUCUGAGAUGUUGCCACAAAAGAUAAACCUUUCUCAACAAAAGUUCGCUGAAUAUAAUAAUAAAAACCCCAAAAUAGAUCCACACUUAUAUUUUAUGGCUUAUUAUCAGAUUCCAUGGAUCAUGAAAUGGUUCUAUGCAAUAACAGAUGACUACACCCACAAUUGGGAAUACAUCUCGAAAUUGGGAAAACAAGUCUAUAUUAAAUGGUGGGAUAUCUAUGAAAAUAAAGCAAUAGACCUUGAAAAUAUAAAAUUGAGAAAAAUUCUUACCCGAGUACAAGAGAAAAAAGAGGACCACUUUGCUGAUUGUAUAAGUAAAAUGUAGCAGCAGAACCCAACUGCUACUAAAUUAGAAUUGAAGAAAAAAUUAUUACAAAUGUUCGAAGAACAAGAAGAAGCAAUGUCAACCUCAACAGCAAAUGAAGAAGAAGAUUAUGCAAUAGAAAAUGAAGACUGUGAGUUGAUAUAGCCAAGGAUCGAAUUUACCCGAAGCACCCAAAAAAGCCCGACAUAAAAGCCCAAUAAAGCCAUCAAUAAUGAUAAGCCAUCGCUAUUAGUAGAUUCUCUUUGUCUGCCACCUGUUCGGCAAUAGAGUCCAUUUGUUGCCACUAACCACUACAAGACAAGCCACCGACACAUCUUACUAUUCCUGGAUACGACCGUACCACCACCUGUCAAGAUUUGCCUACAGCUGUUAUUGUUCGACACACCUACCGACAACCAUCGACAAACUUUUACUGUGCUGAGAUGCUAUUGUACGCCUUUUGAUCACCUUCGACCACUAUGCUACCCUCUUUUAGUCAUUUCAUCAGUCAUGAGCUGGCAUCUACCUUUAGGCCAGAAAUAAUUAGGACUUGAGGUCCGGAGGCCAUAAAAGGGGACCUCGUCUAUGCAAAGGGCAUCCGAAGUUGGCUCUCUUCUGCUUUCUUCUCUCUGUUAUGCAAAUAUACUGUUCUUCUCUCUGUUCUGCAAAUAUACUGUUCUUUUCUCUGUGAUACAAAUAUUCUGUUUUUCUCUCUGUUUUACAAAUAUACUGUUCUUCUGUCUGUUAUGCAAAUAUACUGUUCUUCUCUCUAUUCUGCAAAUAUACUGUUCUUCUCUCUGUUCUGAAAACACUAUUCCCUUCUCUGUUUUAAUCCUCCCGAUUGAACUGUUCUCUUCUAUCUACCACUCUAUUCUCUUCCCUAAAGCUAAUCUCUUUUCCUUUCUAAUCUUCUAUAUUCUCUUCUCUAAGCUCACUAUCUUCUCUGAAAAGCUAUUCUCUGUUUAAAUACUGUAUAUCGGGUGGUGUGUCUAUAACCACUCCGAAUUUGAGUGUUUGAUAGUUUAUAUGUGUGAUUGUAAUCUCAAUAAUUUGCCGAGUCAUUAUCCUGAGGAGUGGAAGCUCUUCACCAGUUUCUGUAUCUGUAAAAUGUAAGUACUCUUCUGUAUUUUAAUGAAAAUUUUACCCCUAUGCAAUAAAGUUUAUUGUUAGUAUAAAAAUUAGAUCUAUUACUUAUAUAAAUUGGGUUGUUGUUGAUAUUUCUCCUUCAUUAUGGUUUACUCUGAUAAUUGCUUUCUUUUAUAUCAGAUAUAGUAGAUAUAUGCUCAAUUGAUAUUGUUAUUGGAUUUCAUUCUAAGUAUUGUAAAAAUAGACCUAGAAUUAGGCUUCAGAAUAGAUCUUGGGUAGUUUGGUAUAUAUAUAUAUAUAUAUAUAUAUAUAUUAUAGAUAUAUGUAUAUAGGUUUCAGCAAAGACUUUAUUCAGAUUAUUUAUGUACAUUCAAAAUUCUGUUUUAUAAAACAGGCCCUAAGUAAUUCAUUAGGGUAUUCUCAAAUUUUGGUAGUCCUCUUUUCAAGGUCUUAACUUAUGUUUUAUUUUUAAUAAAUGUUGCAGAUGAGAUUUGCUAAGCCAAAUAACUUUUUUCAAAAGUUUUUGGAGAGCAACAAGAUUGCACAGUGGUGAUUGCUUGGAUUAGAUGUCGGGCACCGAUAUGUUGGAGUGGCUAUUUCUGAUCCAGAUAAUAAGAUUGCUUCACCUUUGAGGUAUGGGAGGUUUCUUGCAUUAAGUAAACUACGUUUUAUAUAGGAAGUAACUUCUUGGUUCUCCCAUUUCCCACAUGUGGGGCUUGUUUCUAAUAAAUUUUACUAAUUUAAGGUUCUCUUGUUUCUUAAAUUUCUUAAACAAAAAGUGAAGAUUAUGAAAGGGAUAAUAUCAAAGCAAUAUGGGUGAUCAUGAGUCAGAAAUGCUAUUGAGACUCAAAAUCAACAGCUUGCUAGUGGAUAUUCUUCCAUUAGCUUAUAGAAUCCAAAUCCUAGAUCGCGGAACCCAUAAAUGUAAUAAAGUGUUUGUUAUAUGGUACACUAGCUCAACAUGUUUUUGUUGUUUAUAUUCAGCAUUAUAUGUUUUACGUGUUGCAAUUUGGAUUUUUGAUGAUCUAUGUGAUGAAGAGAGGCUUUUAAUCUCAGUCCACUAAUCCCUAAAUUAGCCAUGACGAUUAAGGAAAAAUAAAGAAGAUUUGUAGAAGCUAAAUAGGUUGGGUUUUUGUGGCCUUUAAAGGCCUAGAGAGCUUGUAAGAAAAAUGUUGUAUAGUGAAAUAUGGUUUCAAUGGGAGUGUGUGUUGACUGACCAAGAGUUGGGCGGUUUAUGGUCCUGGUCAUCUCUAAAAUCCUUAACCCUGGGUAUGUGGCACAUCUGAAAAGGGUUUGAAGUAGGUCAUCCCUUGUUGAGGUCGGAGAGAUGCCAAUGGAUCAUGUUUGUAGGCCAGGAGAAUUGUAUGGUCUCCUGUGUGCGAUUGUAGGCCUGUGAGACUAAUGCCCAAAUCCUCAACAAACUUCCACAUAUUAUGUACAUAUGACAGCCGCAUGGGAAUCAAUUUUUUUUACAGGGACACGUGUACAUGUGCAUUGAGAGAGCCCAUUUUACACUGUAGUGACAAGUGCUCGACUUUCUCUUAAAGGGGAAACUGUAAUCCGCAUUCCAUGAUCAUAAUCUCAUUGUUUUAUUAUCCAACUUUGAUAAGCCAAUCAUGAGCCCUUGCAAAGAGAUUGUGCAAAGAGAAUAUUUGUGGAUUAUGGUUUCUGGGGCGAGUGGAGCGCCCUUUACUGUCGCUUAUUUUGACCCUAGUAUAUUUUAUUUUAGUAUUAUAAAUGUUUUUUUGAUUUUUAUUUUUCUGCAUUUUAAGAUAUUGUCUCUAUUGUAAAUUUUCAUAAAAGGGUAUUUCUGAAAAUUUUUGAACUUUAAAAGAAAACAUGUGGCACCAAAGAUCCAGUCUCACAUGUGACACUCCGUGCACCUUAGGGACCACACCCUAUUUUUGUACAACAAUAUUUGGCACACCCUAUUUUAUUGCAAUUUUUGGGAAAGGGUGGCCUGCCCAAAUAUGGACGCACGCCACUUUUAGUGGAAUAGGCAUACCCUAUUCAAUUUGAUUUGUUUCAAAUUUAAAUUUGCUACGUUUGAAAUCUAAUGAGAUAUGGUUUCCCAAAUAUUGUGGGAAAUGUAGAUUAGUUUUAUUUAGAAUGUAUUUGAAUUUGAUUGUAAAUCUAAAAGGAUAAAGUUGAAAUUGGAUUGGUUUUAUUUUAAAUAGGAGUGGAUUGGAUGAAAGUAUAAGGAGAUAAUGUUCCUAAUUUAUUCACCCAAAGUCAUGAUAGCUGGUUUUUGAGAUGGAUGGUCCUGAUUAAUUUCUAACCCCAUAGAUUUCCUAAUUAUCUUAAAAGGUUUUGCUGAAAAUUAGAUGGAAUUUGAACUUAUUUGAGAUCUAAUCACUAGAUCUUAUUUCUCUCUCUCUCCAAAAGAUCUCUUUCUCCCUCACACGCUAAUUUGGGGAGAUCUCUCUCCCCAUCACGCGCCAAUUUGGGGUGAUCUCUCUCCCCCUCACGCACCAAUUUGGGGAGAUCUCUCUCUGCCCCACAUGCACCAAUUGGGGGACCUCUUUUUCUCUCUUUCACGCCACCUUCUAUCUUGCUCUCUGUCAACCAAAAGAGAGGCACGUCACAUCUUUCGCCCUCUUCCCUCUAUUUUUAUUUAUUUAUUGUCUUGGAAAGAAAAAAUAGAGGUGACAUAUUUUUCUUGGAGAAACCCUAAACUAGGGUUUGCUGUAUUUUUCAAAGGAAGAAGAGAGAAACUUAACUUAGAGAGAUAUCAACCACAAGAUCAGCCUUAUUUGGUUUCCAUAGGAUUUGUAUAAACCUUAAGUUAUUUUUGAGCUCGCUUAAACCUUAGAGAAAGAAAGAUAGCCUACAAAGCUUUUCUAUUUAAGAAUUUCCAGCAACACUUUAAGGAGGAAAAAUGUGCCAUUGGUCAGCGAAUCGAGUGUGGGGUGUACAAAGUCCUGGCUGGAUAACUCUAGGCAUUUUUUAGUAAGUAUUUCCAUUAGUUUUUGUUUUUUUUUAAAUUUUUUUUAUUUUUAAUUUUCUAUUUUUUUUGUAAUUUUUCAAAAAUUUAUAUUGCCUUAAAAAUUGUUAAAGCUAGUUUAAAGUUCAUGGAUGGUUUCUAUUUCUCUUGACAGUAAAAUAAAGAUCUCACGUUGUAUUUAGGGCAAUUUUCUGGCACGUGUAAGUGGAAUUCAAGUAUUUUGAAUAAAAGUAAAAAGAAAUUUUUGAAUUUAAUACCGUGAGUUCCACAUAGCCACACCUUUCAUUGGUAUCAGAGCUUCUAUUAUUUACUGUCAUACUUUAGGAUUUUGUUUUUUUUUUUGGUCAAAGAAACAUGACUUCAAAAGGUUUCUUGGCUGAAUUUUUUAAGACUGAAAAUUUUGAUGGCAAAAACUGUUUUUGUUGGCAAAGAAAAAUUGUCCAUGUCCUCUUUGGAGAAGGACUUAGCCUAAUGCUUACUGAAGCACUCCCAUCUGUCCCAAGAGGAAAUGCUUACAAGAGGCAAGUCGUAAGAGAUGCUCAUGCUUAGUGGGGGCACAAAAACACUCUAGCAAGAUGUGCUACUUAUGGCCAUGGAUGACCCUCAUCCUCUUGAGUAUGAGCACCUAAAGUCUGCAUAGGAGAUCCAUGAACGACUUGAGAUUGAUUAUGCCUCACUGUCUUUCACAAGAAAGGCGAUGGCUAUGAUGCAAUAUUCAGAUUUGAAGAUGAAGAAACGAGGCGAGUUAACUGAGCAUAUGCAAUAGUUCAGAGCCUUAGUUCGUGAACUCGAAGCUGCACAAGUCAAGCUAGAUGAAAAUAUGCAGAUCUGCCAGUUGCUGAAUUCUAUGCUGAGCUCAUGGGAAAACUUCAUUUCAGGCCUUACGGCAAGGGAGAGCAUGUCGAAGUUGGAUGAGAUCAUCACCAAACUCAAAGCUGAGGAAGAAAGGAGAUUUUCUCAUGAUUCUUCAGCCUUGAAUGACUCCGUCAAUGUGGUGAACCUUAAACCCAAUUUUGGUUCAUUUAAGAAGAAGAAAGGCAAAGGAAAGAAUAGGAACAAAAUGAAUGAGGAUCAAGAGGGAAAUAAUUGGCCAAAGAAAAAGAAGGAGUUUAAGAAUACCCAAUGCCAUAAUUGUAAGAAAUUUGGGCACAUUGCAAAGCCCCCAAGAAUACGAAUCCCGAGGGCGAUAAGAAGCCUGCUUGAGUAGUCCUCCUAGAGUCUAUGCUAGUUGACCCUAAAAUAGGGUCGUGAUGUUUUGAUUCAGGGUCCACUGCCCAUGUGUCAAAUACCAGGGAUGGAUAUAGAAAUUUUCAGGCUGUUGCCCUAAGGGAUCAAUAUAUCUAUAUGGGUGGGAAUCAAAAGACUGAAAUUCUGGGUAUUGGAGAUUCCAUCCUUCAAUUUGAGAUUGGCAAAAGCAUGGUCCUAAAGGAAACUCUUUAUGCUCUUGAGAUGAUGAAGAGUUUGGUUUCGGUCAUUAAAUUGGCUAAGGCAGGUUACUUCACCAUUUUUACUGUUAACAAGGUGGAGGUCAAAUAUGGAGAUGCAUUAGUUAUGAUUGGUCAUUUUGUAGAAGGUUUCUUUUCAGUUGCAAUAAAGAAAUCUAUUUCUUAUGUCUUGAGUUAUGAUGAUAAGUAUGUUGUAUGUAUAUGGCACAUGAAAUUAAGGCACAUAAACCCUACAAGAAUGGAGAGAUUAAAGAGAGGGAUUAUUGAGUAAUCUAAAUGGAGACUUAGCCAGAGUCUGUGAAUCAUGUGUUCAAGGAAAGCUGGUUAAGAAAUCCUUUGUGAAAAUGCAGAAAGCUACUGGCAUAUUAGAAGUUGUCCAUAAUUUUUUUUGUGGACCUAUGAUUGUGGCCACUAACAGCUGCAAAAGGUACUUUAUCACUUUAUCACUUAUCACAUUAAAAGAUGAUCACUUAUCACAUUAAAAGAUGAUCACUCUCAUUUAGGCCAUGUCUAUCUAUUAAGUGAAAAACUUCUAAAGCCCUAGAUCGAUUCAAAGAGUAUAAAACUGAGAUAAAACCCCAAACCAGCAGAGCUAUUGUAUAUAUGUCAAGAUCAGUGGAAAUAACAUGUUUUUCCAUCUCUUUAUAUGUGGAUGACAUGUUGUUAGUACUUCGAUUGGAAACAAAAGUUUUCUUGUCACAUAAUUUUUAAUAUGAAGGACCUUUGAGAAGCCAUGCAGAAAAUUCCAUACAGAAGUGCAACUGGGUCACUAAUGCCUGGUAUGCCAGAGACAAGACCAGUUUUAUCUUCUGCCAUGAGUUACGAUUAGCAGGUCCCAGAAUAAUAUAGGCAUGAAGCACUGGAAGGCCAUCAAAUGAGUACUGUGACAUUUGAAGGGAAUCGUUAAUUACACACUCAAUUAUGGAAGAGGCUCAGACAUACAUAUAUGAGGAUAUUCAGAUGCGGACUAUCAGAGCGAUCCAGAUGAGAGUAAGUCCAUAUUCAGAUAUAUCUUCACGCUUGCAGGUGGAGUUGUUUAUUGGUGCUCAAAGAAAUAAGAUAUAGUUGCAUUCUUGACUAUGGAGUCAAGUAUGUGGCAAUUUGUUUUGCGGCUAAAACAAGCAGUCUGGUUAAAGAAGUUCUUGAAUCAACUCAAAUUUGAUCCAAUGAAGUGCCCGUGCGUGAGAAUUUUCUGCGACAACCAGACAGCUAUUUGCGAUCAAAAGAGCCGAAGUUACUACUACAUUCGCAAAGAAAUUCGAGCAGGAGAGAUUCUGGUUGCAUAUCUCCCGAGUGAGACCAUGUUAACAGAUCCUUUGAUAAAAGGAUUGGUGGCAAAAGUUUUUGCCAAACAUGUCCAUGGGAUGGGCUUGAGAGAAAUUGAGAGGGAGUGAUUGUAUGGCCUUCAAAGGCCAAGUGGGAGAUAUUGGAUUUUUGUGCCCUUUAAAGGCCUCGAGAGCUUGUAAGAAAAAUGAUGUAUGGUGGAAUAUGCACUUCAAUGGGAGUGUGUGUUGAUUGACCAAGGGUUGGGCGGUUUAUUGCUCUGGUCAUGUCUAAAACCCUUGGCCUUGGGCAUGUGGCUCAUCCGAAAAAAGUUUGAAGUGGGUCAUCCCUUGUUGAGGUCGGAGAGAUGCCCAUGGAUAAUGUUUGUAGGCCAGGAGAACUGUAUAGUCUCCUCUGUGCGGCUGUGGGCCUGUGAGAACACGAGCCAAAUCUUCAACAAACUUUCGCAUAUCAUGUACAUAUGACAGCCGCAUGGGAAACGGGUCUUUUCAAAGGGACAGGUGUACAUGUGUAUUGAGAGAGCCCCUUUUACACUAUCGAGACAAGUGCUAGACUUGCUCUUAGAGGGAAAAAUUAUAAUCUAUAGAUCAUAAUCCCACUGUUUUAUUAUCGAACUUUGACAAGUCAAUCAUGAGUUUCUGUAAAGAGACUGUGGAUCAUGAGACUUUGUUGGGUUGGAUAAGAGAACAUUUGUGGAUCAUGGUUAAUGAGGCAAGUGGAGCGCCCUUUAGUGUCACUUAUUUUGACCUAUUGGUGCCAGUCCACUCUUAGUAUAUUUUAUUUUAGUAUUAUAAAUGUUUCUUUUGAUUUUUAAAUAUUUUUCUGUAUUUUAAAAUAUUGUUUCAACUGCAAAUUUUCUAAAAAGGUAUUUUUGAAAAUUUUCGAACUUUAAAAAUAAAACAUGUGGGACCAAGGAUCCAACCCCAUAUGUGACACUCCGUGCAACCUAGGGAUCACACCCUAUUUUUGUAGAGCAAUAUUUUGCACACCCUAUUUUAUUGCCGAAGGCGGUGUCACGCCACAUAUUCUUAUAGGGGGGGGCACUUUUUUUUUAUGGAAAAAAGGGAGGCACGCCACUUUUUGUGGCACAAAUAUGGAGCAAUGCCACUUUUAGAGGAAUAGGCACACCCCAUUCAAUUUGAUUUAUUUCAAAUUUAAAUUUGAAAUCUAAUCAGAUAUGGUUUCCCAAAUAUUAUUGGAAAUCUAGAUUAGUUUUAUCUAGAAUAUAUUUUAAUUUGAUUUCAAAUUGAAAAGGAUAAAGUUUAAAUUUGAUUGGUUUUAUUUUAAAUAGGAGUGGAUUAGAUGAAAGUGUAAGGGUCAUCUUCAUCAAAACUAAAAUUUCUAAAACAUAAAUAAACCCAAUUAAAAGAGAAAUGAAUCCAUAGAGUUAGGAAUAUGCAAUUACUAAGGCACUCCACUUAUGUUAGUUCCCAUCAUCCUCGGUCUAUCUUCUCAAACAACCCAACGGAAUCCAUCACCCAGUGUAUCUUGCAGGGGCUUAUGCUUGGUCCGUCAAAUCUGGCCAAUAAAUGGAGGGACUACGGUCAAGUGCUUGGAUUGCAGGUUCUAACUCAAGCACAAAUCUGGUUUCCCUAGAUAUCUCACUAUCGCACAAAUCUGGUUUCCCUGGAUAUCUCACUAUCGCAAUGGGACAUGGGGGUCUUCUCUUUAGCAGAUGUACAUGUCUUAUCCCAAUGAGCUGCUUCCCAUAGAUGCAGCCAUUAUAUUUAUAUGCUGUGCGAUGAUAGUAUUAAGUUUUUGGCCCUUGUCCUUAUAAGCAUUAAAAAACAUACAAAAGAGUUUGUCUCCCUCCUGGCUAAACCACCACCAAGCAUAUCUCCGACCACAACUUUGAAAACCCUCAAAGGUUGUAAUUUAUGCCCAAGGCUAAGGGGAGUUUGGACCCCACUCCCCGGCCUAGACUGCCCAUCCUAGGUGAGUCAAUGCCUCAAUGGAACAAACCAUGUCUCCCUAGUCCCACAUGGACCACACUCCUACGAGUAGAAUAUCAUGCUCUCAAGCCCUUUAAAGCUACAACACCAACAUGAAAACUCACUUAGUAGUUAAGGGAUAUACUCGAGAAGGCUUGAAUUAUAAGGAAAUGUUUAGUCUCAAAGUUAAAAUGGGCACUAUUUGAAUUGUCCUCUCCUUAGCCAUCACUUAUGGGUGGGAUGUUCAACAACUUGAUGUUAAAGAUGCCUUUCUUCAUGGUAAUAUUAAGGAAAAUUUAUAUGGAACAACCACUUGGUUACUCAUAGUUGACCUAAAACUUAUGAUCGUCAGGGCGAUAUACGUAUUUAAGUGGGGGCUUCAUGAGCAUGAUUUGAGAGUGUUUACAAUGAAAUAAACUCGUGAUUUUUGGUGCAGUCUAGUGGACUACUCAUUGUUCAUCUGCACUUGGUCUACAAGGUAUCACCGUCUUACCAAUUUAUGUUAGUGAUCUUGUUAUUAUGGAAAGCUCGAGUGACCAUAUUCAAACCAUAAAGGAGCUCUUAAAUGCCAAAUUUUUGAUUACUUCGCUUCACUGGGGCGAUGGAUCACAAAAAUAUUUUCUUGGUGUUGAAGUGAACAUAACCAAUGUUGUCUAAAUCAGACUGGAUUGGUCGGUCUCUGCUGAAAGGCAGUGGUUGGUGGUUGUUUCGCCCUGGUUUGUCCCCAUAGUGUAGAAUGUCCACCGAACCUGUCAUCAACCAAAUUGCCUUUAUUUUAAAAAAUUGCCUUUGUUAAUUUUUUUUGAAUUUUGGGUCAAUUUUCAGUUUUUUUUGUAUUUAAGGCUUUUUGAUUUUUUGUAAGGGCUUUUUGGCUUUUUUUUUCCAAAAGGGUGGGUUUUAGGGUUUUAUAAAGCUUUUUUAAGAGAAAAACUUUGGCGGUUCUCCCGCCCCCCCACCCACACACCCCCCACCAAAAAAAAGCAUCCCAACCCUUGCCCUAUUUUCUGGCAACUUCCAUGGAAGAUUCUGACCAUCAUCACACCUGAUUUGAAGCCCUAAUAAUGAUUGUCUUGUUUUGUUUUUGUUUAAUAUUUAGAAAACUAGAAAACUUUUGGUUUUUUCUAGGGUUCCUAUUGUAAACAAUUCCUUUUCCAUACCAAUGCAAUGAAUUGUUUCUUUUGUUGAAUGCAAUGGUUGUUUUAUCACUAAGUUUAACGUUGUAUGUUUUUGCUUUUUAGGAGCCUUAUAUGGGUUUUUUUCUAAAUAAAUGCUAUGUUUUUUCUUAAGGUGCGGUUUGUAUAGAGCCGAGGCUCUAAACAAUCAAAGUAGAACGCACCUUCAAAGUGUCGAGAAAUAUGGUUUCACUAUUGGAAAUCUUUGUAAUAGCUUUAAAAUAUAUUUUGAUCUUUAAUUAUAAAAUUUAAAGCUUCAAAAAUAGUAUAGAUCGAGAAAAUAUAUGAAACUUGAAAAUCUUGAAAAUUGGCAGUCCAAAAAUGCAUUAUAUUAUUCCCAAAACUUGAAAUCUAUUUUUUCUUUCAUGCCUGUGCAUCUUGAAGUCGAGAUGAUCAAUUUGAGGAUAUUUGGGCAUCAAAACAACCUCUUCUAAUGAAAUUUUUGUGGUGCACUCAAAUUUGAUUGUUUAGAGCCUCACACUUAUAUAAACUUUUUUUUCUUUUUUAAAUUAAAUUUUUAUAGCACUUCAACAGUUAAAUUGCUAAAAUAAUGCCUAGUUUGAUGAAGUUAUGUAGCAUGAAAAACAUUUAUACUAGGUCUAUAUUACUUUAUUUUAGGUUUCUUUAUCAUGUGUUUUAUAUUUUCGGUUUAAUCUAUUUUCAACUGAAUUUUUGUCUUUAUGCAUUUAUUUGUUCCAUUGAUACUUAAAAGGCUAAUAUGGCACUAUGGAAGUUGUUGAAUUUACUUGUCAUGAAAGUAUCUGACUAUUAUUUUAUUGCUUUAAUACGAAAAGAAUGGUCAUGGAUGCUGCCCACAUGCUGUAAGAAAUAGGGCAGUAGGAAACGCCUUACUGCUGUACACCAGUAUACUACAGCAAACUAGUAUAGUGCUGCAGACCACUAUUGGAAGCAAAGCAAUACAACGCUCUUGUACAAAAUGACAAAAUGAGACCAGGGUUCCUUUUUUUUGUUUUUUUUAGUGUGGGGCGGGCGAGAGAGAGAAAGAGGAAAGUGGUUAAGAGAUUAGAGGGAGAGAGGAGGGACAAGGAGAUUGCAUUCCAGGUCGGCUUGCUGCCCCUUCUUUCACCAACACAUCAGCUAUAGGUGAUUGGCCUCCCUCAGUACGUCAUUGAAGAUGGCCUGAGAGCCCUGCACAAAGUAAUGGUCAAAUAGAUGCGCCAGUCUCCAUGGGCUUAAUUAAGUUUUGAGGUUCAUGCACUGAUAUUUUUGGAGUCACCCUUUAAGUUCAGUGAUGGAUACAUUAGCCUGCUGGGUACAUUUGAGGCCUUCUGAAUGGGCAAUAGUCUCCAACAUGGUGAAAUCAAUGUGACCUAUGAAACCUAAGAAAGACAAAAGACGAUCUCCUUUGGCAUUACUUUGAACUCUUCAAAAUCCAGAUGGACUGGGACUCCCAAAGGAGCAACUGUCGACAUUAAUAAAGGACCCACUGGGAGGAGGUCCAGACUGCGUGUGUAUAUCGGGGCAUGGGGUUCAUUGAGAAAAUGUUUUCCCUUCCAUUAAGAAAAAUGGAAGUUCCAAAGUUCUUAAGGUCUCUAUAUUCCCUAGCCCAAAGAACAGUGUCAGCUUUGAUGUGAUUGCAUGCUUUUUGGUGUGGCUACUUGACGUCUGAAUAUCCCGGAGUUUCGCUCUUUCCAAAUACUCCACAAGGUUUCCGAAAUUGAGAUAUUCCAAAGGAAACAACCUAUUUGGGCUAGGGACGGAGUUAGAAGGCUAUGAAAAGUUGUGGGAGUGUAGCUGAGCGACCAACUGUUGGAGGAGGUUGGACCACUCUAAGGAGGCAACCUGCAAUGUAUGAAGGGGUGUCCGCUAGUUUAGGCACAUGAUGCAUUUUGUGGCAGCUGAAUGCCUCUCCUUCGUAGCUUUGUAAUUGGUCUUCUCUAUGAUUUGAUAUUAGGUACCAGCUGAGUGCUUGAACGUUGUGGGAGACCUGAGUACCCCAGACCUUAUUGAAGAUGGGUAUGGGAUUCUGAUUGGGCUGCAGAGUGGAGUAGAGUAAAGAGACCAAGAAUUUCCUAAGGCGUCCCGAGAGUAAACUAGCCUGUGUAGGUUGGUUUGCUUAAAGAAGAAACACUUUAGAAGGUUAAGUAGGCCAUUAGGUGUUCAAUUUCUUGGUCAAGUAGUGCCCUUCUAAAUAUCAGGGAGUAAAUAAGAUUUUCUCCCCUCAUUUCCAGUUUCUCUGCAACUGUACCCUCUUCAUUCUUUGCUAUCGAGAGGAGUCAAGAGGCUGAUCACUCACCAUAGCACCAGAGCAUGUGGUUCAAGUCAUUAAAAGCAAUUCUGCCAACUACGCCCUUGGGGGGCAGUUACUGUUCGCCAUAUCCUUUGGAUAUCUUGUGCAGAGCAUUGUUUAGAUUUGAUGCUUGAGAGUAUAGGGAUGUUCGCCCAUGUUGAGUCAGUUAUAGAGAAACAAAAGAGACUAGAAAAUUUUUCUUCCACUAUUGUUCUGAGUCCCAUGAAUAAAUAUACCAAUGGAGGGAAGUUAGAGAGGAAGAGGGAUGGGUUGACAGUCAUGGUUACUUCAUGAGGGUCUUAAGUGUAGCUUUUCUCGGUAUGGUAUAUUCUCAAAUUUUUCUAUACCCAACACGGGAAGACUACUUACAAUGGCCUUCUACAAACAAUUACAGUAAGAAAUACAAGACAAAGGUCACCAAACAAACUUGCUUAUGGCUGAAACAAUGCAAAAGAAGUAACACAAGCAUAAAUCACUUUUCAUUUAUUAAAACAAUAGAGAUUGCAAUGUACAAGACAAUGCAACUAUACAAAAUUUCAGCACAUGUAUUUAACUGCAAAGCACCAGCACAACUUUGGAAACCAAUUGCAAUCUCAUUUACUUGAAACAUAAACACAUGAAUGAUAAGUCAAUGGAACAAUGGGAAGUCUACCUCAAAGGGACUUUCCAACACCCCAUGCCAAAUCGCUCCUUUCGAUAGUGCAUGAAUCACGGCCCUUCUUGCUCCAACUGUGAAAAGCACUAAGAAGGGCUCUUAAUCCACUCAAAGGUCACUCCAAAGGGCUAAAAAAAUAUGGGAAAGGUGGGCUGAGACUCCUUACUUGGUUUGUCAAAAUGAGAGGGAAUGGUGCUCCAAGGACAAGGCAAUUAAGCAUAGAAGUAAUAUGCUCCAAGGGGGUUAUGGGACAAAAACAUUCAUGGUGGUUGCUGUGGCAAAUUAUGCACAAUGGUUGUAAUGGGAGGAUGUAGUUUGGGCUAGCACUUGAUGGGAGCAAGCUAAGGUUCAAGAGCACAACAUCAUAGACCAAGGGGGGGGGGGGGAGAGAGAGAGAGAGAGACGACNNNNNNNNNNNNNNNNNNNNNNNNNNNNNNNNNNNNNNNNNNNNNNNNNNNNNNNNNNNNNNNNNNNNNNNNNNNNNNNNNNNNNNNNNNNNNNNNNNNNNNNNNNNNNNNNNNNNNNNNNNNNNNNNNNNNNNNNNNNNNNNNNNNNNNNNNNNNNNNNNNNNNNNNNNNNNNNNNNNNNNNNNNNNNNNNNNNNNNNNNNNNNNNNNNNNNNNNNNNNNNNNNNNNNNNNNNNNNNNNNNNNNNNNNNNNNNNNNNNNNNNNNNNNNNNNNNNNNNNNNNNNNNNNNNNNNNNNNNNNNNNNNNNNNNNNNNNNNNNNNNNNNNNNNNNNNNNNNNNNNNNNNNNNNNNNNNNNNNNNNNNNNNNNNNNNNNNNNNNNNNNNNNNNNNNNNNNNNNNNNNNNNNNNNNNNNNNNNNNNNNNNNNNNNNNNNNNNNNNNNNNNNNNNNNNNNNNNNNNNNNNNNNNNNNNNNNNNNNNNNNNNNNNNNNNNNNNNNNNNNNNNNNNNNNNNNNNNNNNNNNNNNNNNNNNNNNNNNNNNNNNNNNNNNNNNNNNNNNNNNNNNNNNNNNNNNNNNNNNNNNNNNNNNNGGGGGGGGGAGGGAGAGAGAGAGAGAGAGGCAACCUAGGGAUGGCAUGGAGACUGAGGAGUCUGGAGAGAUUUGACAGAAUAACACAAUUUGGUUGAGUGGUGAAAAUGGGGCGCCCAAGAGCCCUAUUUAUAGAGUUGGACUAGGGUUAGUGGCAGUCUAGAAUGUGCUUCUUAACUUGGAGGAAUAUGAGCCAUUGGUCUUAGUGAUUUAUGGAGUGAAGAGAAGAUUUCAAUCCAACCGUUCAUCCCUUGAGUAGCUAUAAUAGAUCAAGGGUGCAUAUUAUGCCCUUAUUUCAUGAAGGUUUCCAACCCUAAUUCCCCUUUAAUUCACUUUUUGAAAAAGUAGAACCUCAUCGAAGUUGGAAUAUGAACCAUAGGAUUAAGUUUGUGAGAGAUCAUUACCUUGAUCAAGUGUGUGAGAGAGAGAUCUAGGGUAGGGGGGUGGGGAGUGCCAUUUCUUUUAGGUCUUUUCUCUCUUCAUCUCCUUCAAUGUGAAAAGGAGAGCGAAUAUUUUGUGAUUCCCUCAACCAACUUCCAUGUCUUCAAACAUUGGUGGGAUGUGUACCAUGGAAUCAUAAGUUGACUCUGCAAGUGUUUAAGGGAUCUUACGACAUGUGUCCCUUCUUGGAACCAAUUAUCAAAAUUCUCGAAGAAAUAGAUCCCUUACAUGAGAAGUGGGAAUUGAAAAUUUGACUGUGAUGUCUUUAUUAUUGGGCGCUAUGCAAUUAUAGAUGAGUAGGGAUUUCCUGUUCCUUUGGAGUUCAGACCAUAUUAUAGUUGUUGGAGGUGGGAGCGGGGUGAGUUCGGGGAACACCAAACCACCAUAGGGGGGAAGUUCCGUGGAGUUAGGAUUGACAUCCAUACAUUCAACAAGUUAAGGAGCUAGAUCCUAAGACACCUGGGAGCUCGAUCCCAUGUCACUAGGAUCAAUUUUAACUUCGAGGGAUAUAAGUUCCACUAUACAUAAAACGAUAUCAAUUAAUAGUAUAUGACAAAAUUAGGAUCGAGCCAAGGGCCACUCGAUCCAUUAUCAUACACCUUAGUUGAUUACCAAUACCAUAGUUAUAGUACUCCAAUUUACUCCAGUACCAUAAUAUAAUAAUAUCAUAAAUUGGCUUACUAUGAUAUUAAACUGUAGUUUUUUAAUACCAUAAUAUUAGUAUACUAUGAUGUGAUAUGCCGCAAUUUAACAUAUUAUAAUUAAAUAAAUCUAUAAUACUAAGGAGACGAGUAGUAUUUUACUUAAUAGUAUAUCUCUUCCCCUUGGAGGGGUCCUACAAGCAUGUAGACUGAGAUCCCAUUUAAUAGCGAGCGAGAUCCCUAUAUCUCUUAACCAAGCUUCCUUUAAGAUCCCUUAGAGGAACCGCACGAUUGAGUUUCUAAGGUGGAACUAGGGCCUUAUCCUUUAAGAUCCCUUGAUGAUCUUUCAUCACUUAGCCAGGUGUAUUCCUUUAUUCAAUGUGUGGAAAGUAAAAAAUAUAUUAUGCUGCCUACUUAAGUAAUUGAUCAUUUUGUCCUUACCUCAGCUUCACUACCUCUCAAGAAUAAUAAGGUCAGAUCAAUUUAGGAAAGGGGGUUCUAAUUAAGGAGAUAAAAGUAAGUCGAAAUCUGAUCAUUGUGGAAGAAAUGAUCAUGUUAAGAAAACUUGCUUGGACCUAGUUGGUCUGACAUCCAAUUUAAUCGUUUAGGAAAUUUAAUGCUCUUAUGCUUCCUCCACUAGGGGUUUGACAAUUGGGAGUACUGAUCAUCCAUUGCACAAUGCAACCAUAUCUUCAUGUUUUUGCUCUGAAGGACAUGAUAUAUGUUCCUAAAUAUGAGAUCGAAUCUUCACCACUUGUUUGUCCUAAUUAGUUGGGCCAUCCACUAUUUCUACUUCAUUUUUUGCUUUGUCAGAUAUUCAUGCUUCCGGUCAUCAUGUCUCUCUUUAUCCGUUUUAACAAUCCUGGAUUAUUGAUUUUGGAAUCUUAGAUCAUGUUGACCAGUAUGUCUUCCUUGUUAAUCUCUUAUUCCUUUUUUUUUGAGUAAACCUCUUAUUCCUUUUCUUCUUUUUGUAGAGAGAAAGUUAGGAUUGUUAAUUGGUCCUUCGCUUCUAUCGUUGGCCAUAAAUAUUUCUCCUCAAUGUCAUUGUUAUUGGUUCUUCAUCUUUCUUGCUUUGCUACGAACCUAAUGCCUGUUAGUAGCAUUACUAAAAUUCUAAAUUGUGGUGGUACCUUUUUUCCUUCCCCCUGUGUUUUCAAGACUUGGAUACAAGAAAGGCGAUUGGCAGUGGUCAUGAAGUUGGUGGUCUUUGCAUGCUAAAUUUGCCUAUUACUACUCUUCAAGCACUUCAACAAAACACAAAUGUUUAUAAGAUCGGAUUUUGACGGCGCAUCUAUGACUUGGUCAAUUGUACUUUCAAUCCUUGAAAGCUUUGUUUCUUGAGUUGUUCGUUUCUUGUAGUGUGUCGGAUAUGUAAAGUGUUCAAAAGAUUGUCAAAACUCUUUUUUACCCAAAAAUGAUAAAACUCUUUUAUCUUAUUAAUCAUAUGUUGUCAGGUGCUCUAUACUACAAUCUUCCGAUAAACUUCUCCUUGAUUGUCCAUUGUUAUGUGUUACUCCCAAAGUCUUUGGUUCCUUUUGCUUCGCUCAUGUCCUUGGCCUGUGUCAUACAAAGUUGAAUUCUAAAUCUGUAAAAUCUUAGUUAUUUGUCCUCUCGAAGGGUUACAAAUGUUAUGAUCCAGUCUCAAGAAAUGAAUGUCACCUUCUUUGAAUGGACUCCUUUUUCUCUACCUUCUUCAAGGGGAGUAUAAUGUGGAGGCGAGAUCUUUUGUUCCUCUUCUUGUUUGUAUUUUUCCUGGUUCUGGAGCUCAGAAGGACAGUGGAGAGCAACUUUAUGAUGUUGAAAAUAAAGAAUUACACAAAGAAGUCAUACUACCUAUGAUCUAGGUGAUUCAAAUGGUUCUCAGUGUGAUGAUUCAGAUCUGCCCAUUGCUGUAUAGACGUGUAGAUGAAGUUAUACUGAAAUCUCAAUUGAAAUUUUUUUUUCUUCCUAUCAUGCUUUUGCGUCUUAUUUGUUUUCUAUUUCUAUUCCUUUUUGUAUUAUAGAAGCUUUAGCUCAUCUAAAGCGGAAAGAGGCUUUGUGUGAGGAGAUGAGGGUAUCAAUUCAGAAAUGUACUUAGGAACUAAUAGAUCCUCUUAAAAGAAGUUAGUUUGUUGCAAAUGAGUUACACAGUAAAGCAUAAUUCAGAUGGUAUAGUGAUUGAUAUGAGGCACAAUUAGUCACCAAGGGUUUGACUCAUACUUUUGGGAUAGAUUUUCAGGAACAUUUGCUCCUAUGGUGAAGAUGAACUCCAUUAGGGUUCUUUCAUUCCUAGUAACUAAUUUGGCAUAAUCGUUUCACCAAAUGGUUGUCAAGAAUACAUUCCUUAACGGGGAACUACAGGUUGAAGUGUACAUCGCGCUUUCACCAAUGAAUCUUAGAAAUAAAGGAUAAUUUGUAGAUUGAGAAAGGCCAUCUGUUAUCGAAAGCAGUCUCCUCGACCUUGGUUGGAUAGGCUCAUAGUGUGUUCAAAGAUUCGGGUAUGCUCAAGAGUCUUGCUAACUGUACCUUAUUUGUGAAAUAUACCAAGAUCAGUGCAACUAGCCUGAUUGUAUAACUUGAUAAUUAGUCGUAAUAGGCAACUAUAUUAAGGAAAUUUAGGAACUUAAGAGUUUUCGGCAAGGAAAAGGAAAUUAAGCUCUAGGUCCAUUAAAAUAAUGAAUAUUCUUUUAGAAUGGAAUUUUCUUGGUAUAAGAGAGUAAUCUUUUUCCCUCGAAGGAAGUAUGUGGUGGAUCUUCGUAAGGGAAUGUGAGAGUUUGGGUUUAAGCCAAUGGAUACUUCUAUGAAGCAAAAUUGUAAGCUUGACAACUAAAGGGAUGAAGCUCUCAAAGAUGUGGGUAUGUUUAAGAGAUUAGUGGAUAGAUUGAUUUAUCUCUCUCACACAUCUAGACAUUACAUAUGCUAUGAGCGUGUUCUGUCAGUUCAUGCAUGCUCCACGAAUUCUUAGAUAUCUAAAAUCAUUACUAAGCAGAGGAUUGUUAUUAGUGAUCAUGGGCACUUGUGAGUCGAAACUUAUAUAGACACAAAUUGGAUUGGUUCUAUUUUGAUCAGAUAUCUACAUCAGGCUACUGUACUGUGAUUGAAGGUAAUCUUGUAUCUUGGAGGAAUAUGAAACAAUAAGUUGUAGCCAGGUCAAAUGCAGAAGCAAGGUAUAGAUCCAUAACUCAUGAUGCAUGUGAAUUAGUUGGUUUAAAAAUUCUUACGAGAACUUGGCUUUCCCAUGAAGGGUUCAAUGUCCUUGUAAGGUGAUAAUGAGGGGGCCAUCGAUAUAGCUCAUAAUCCGGUCGAAAAUGAUAAAAUCAACAUAGAGGUAAAUUGUCAUUUCUAUUUUUCUUUUCUCCUUUUUUUUUUUUUUUUUUUUGUAGUUCAUCGUGGAAGGGGCCUCCCUUACCCAUAGUAGAAAUGGAACUCAAUACAUCACGGUUUGAUGCUCCCUCCACAUAACCACCUAGUUGUCAUUUCAUUUGAGAAAGAGUUGCGAUAAGAGAAAUAUGCCUUCAAUAUGUUAACAAAAGAUCAACUAGUAGAUAUUCUUACCAAGGAAGGAAGUCUUGAUUGCAAAUGAUCUUAAGCAAUCUGGGCAAGGUGACUAUUUAUAUACUGGCUUGAGGGGAGUAUUCUAAAUGUCAAAGUCCAUUAUUAUUUUAUUAUUAUUCCUUUGCAUUUAAGUUCCUCAAAGACUUACUCGUCCUUUCCCUAUAAUGAGGUGUAUUUUUGUACUUCUUAUAAUUUAUCACUAGAAAUGACAAUGAGAGGGGCCCGUGGGUGAUGUAACCCUAAUGUGAUAGCCCCUUCUUGGUUCCCUCCUCAACAACACUUUUUUCUUUCUCCAACUCUUCUAUCUCUAAAUCUGUUCCUAUUUCUCUAGACUUUCUCCUCCUUUUUCCUCUCUCCAUAUUUCUUGUUUCUACAUUUUCAACUGUUUGUAAUCGGCGACAUACCCUAUUUAGCACUUGGGGCUCCUUUUGAGGUUUUACAAGGUGGCAAUCAUUGACUGAGGAUAAUUAGCUUCUACAAAGGUGUAUACUUGUUUCAUAUAGAUUCUUCUUCUUCCUGUGAUAAAAUUAAUGAAAUGUUGUCAUUAAGCGUUUUGGGGCAUAUCACCUUAAUAGAAAUUAGUUCUCUUUAACAUUAUCAUUUUCUAAUUUUUAUAUCUUUUCAUGUCAUGAUUAAUGUGGUGCUGUCUAUAAUAUGAGAAGGUUUGCUAAUGGGCCUUUGUCAUAAUACUAGGUGUACUUUGUGCCAUCAUCUUCAUUACCUUUGUUGGCUUCUUGUUUUACCAUACUGGAAAGAUUCUGUAGGCCUAUUCUAGUGUUCUGGAGCAAUGGUUUAUUCAUGAUUGCUGUGUUCCAUUUCAAGUUCAUCCCCUUGUGAUCUCUCCAAAGAGAUUCUGCCUUCAUUAAGCUGUUGUGGAUGUGAGGACACUUCCUCUUAGUAGCUCACAUUGGUUGACAUUUCACUUGGCUUGGCUUCUUCAGUUUAGGUUAUGUGGUGAUAAUCCUCUGUUUCAAUAUUUUGUUUCUCGUGUGUGAUUUUCUUUCGAUAAUGGAAGUGUUUGUUAAACAUCGACACAUAACUUAUAUUUAUUGUUGAGCCUGACCUUAUAACUAAAGGGCAAUCCUUUGUGACAGUUUACCAUGUAUGAAAUAAUUAGUCCACUUCCACAAACUUUGAUGUAAUCUAUUUCUACACAAAAUAGAUAUUAUGGGUUGCAGAUUGUUUCUAGACUUUGAACCUGAUGACAUAGCUUAGAAUUAGAAAGUUUAUCUUAUUGUCAAAUGGUUUCAACAAACACAAGGUUUAAACUCUGAGCUGAUCUUGAGCCUGUUGUGGAGUUCAAGUGAUUCCAUAUUGGUUCUUCACCUUACUACUAUGAUAUUUAUGCUGAGCCUGUUGUGGAGUUCAAGUGAUUCCAUAUUGGUUCUUCACCUUGCUGCUAUGAUAUUUAUGCUUUUCUCAUGCCCUUAGGGAGCAAAGUGAAAUGUUUUGUAAAAAAUGCAGCCAAGAAAUCCACUCAAGUAGAUUUGUGUACUUGAAAGUUUCUUAUCAUCAUCAUUAUUUUUGCCAUUUCUCAAUUAAUUGGGGUCAACUACAUGAAUCCUAGUUCUCCCUUCCGCUUUAUUAAAGGCCAUAUCCUCAGUGAGGCCAUAAGUUCCCAUUAUUUUUUAUACUACUUCCAACCACGUCUUUUUGGGCCUAUCCUUUGUCCAUUUCUGUCCUUCUACUUGAACUAACUUGUACCUCCUAAAAAGUGUUGUACUUGAUCAGCGCCACACAUGGCUAGCCCACCUAAGUCUACUAUCUUUUUUUAUCACCUAUUGGUGCCACGCUUAAAUUCUCUCAAAUAGAUUCAUUUCGAAUUCUAUCCAUUCUUGUCUUGCCACUCAUCCAUCUCAACGUCCUCAUCUUCGCUACACUCAUUAUAUGAGUAUAUUGUUUUUUGUUCGCCCAAUAUUCUGCCCUAUAGAUAAAAGCUGGUCUCACUGCUGUCUUAUAGAGCUUUCCCUUCUGCCUUAUUGGUAUAUGGCAAUUACAUAAAAUUCUACAUCUCCACUUCACCCACUUAACUCUAAUUCUGUUUGCAACAUCUUCCUCGAUCUCUCCAUUUUCUUGGAUUAUCGACUUAACAUAUCGAAAGUGCGGUCUUUUUUGUACUUCCUAGCCCUCAAUCUUGACUACUUCCUCAUCUAUUCUCCUAUUAUUACUAAACUUGCACUCCAUAUACUCUGUUUUAGUCCGACUAAUUUUAAACCUUUGGAUUUUAGAGCAUCCCUAUAAAGUUCUAACUUAGUGUUGAUGCUAUUUUGGGUUUCAUCAAUCAAAACUAUGUUACCUGCGAACAACAUGCACCAUGGUUAGAUAAGUCAUCCAUAACUAAGACAAAGGUACGGGCUCAAUGCUGACCCUUAAUGUAAACCUAUUAUCACGGAAAACUCACUCGUCUCUCCACUAGUUGUUCGUACACUAGCUAGCACUCCAUUGUACAUACCUAUCACCAAGUCGAGACGCCUUUAUUUUCCAACACCCGCCAAAUCAAAUCUUGAGGUACUCUAUCAUAAGCUUUUUUUAGAUCAAUAAAGACCAUGUGGAGGUAUUUUCCCUUCGCCCUAAAGUUCUUAAUUAGUUGUCUAAGUAGAAAAAUAGCCUCCGUUGUUAACCUUCCUGGCAUAAAACCAAAUUGAUUGUCAGAUAUACUUGUUUCAUGCCUUAAUCGUUACUCAAUAACUCUCUUCUAGAGCUUCAUAGUAGGACUGAUAAGCUUGAUCCCUCGAUAAUUUGCACAAUUCUGUAUGCCUCCUUUGUUCUUGUAAAUAGGUACCCCAAUACUUUUCCUUCAUUCGUCUGGCAUGUUCGUUGUUCUCAAUACCUUGUUGAACAACUUCUUCAGCUAGUCAAUGCCAAUUUUCCCCAUGCACUUCCAAACUUCUAUCGGGAUACCAUCUAGUCCUACGUUCAUCAUUUUCAAAGCCUCUUUCACUUCCGACAUCGUAAUCCUAUGAAUGUAUCUAUGACCUCUGCCAUCACUUGUACCAACAGUCCCUUCGACCACUAUGUUCCCAUUGUGUUCGUCAUUUAAUAAUUGUUUAAAAUAGACUCUCCACCUUUCGUUGACCUCGUCAUCCUUCACUAAGACCCUUGGAUCCUCAUACUUAGUGCAUUUAAUGUGGUUUAGAUCCCAACACUUUUUCUCUCUUAUUUUUGCUAAUUUGAAGAUAUCUUUUUUACAUUCGCUUAUUCUCAGUUUAUUGUAUAGAUUAUCAUUUGCCUUAAGUUUAGCUUUAUUUACUAUUUGUUUAGCAUUUUUUUUAGCAUUUUUAUAUUCCUUUAAGUUUUGAUCGUUUCUGUUAUACUGCCAAGUUUUAUACCAUGAUCGUUUUUCGCUAAUGGCCCUGUGGACCUCAUCAUUCUACCACCAAUUUUUCUUAUCGAAGUUUUAUUUCCUUGUAGAGUCUCCUAAAACUUUGUUUGCCACUUUACAUUGACAUCAUGUUCAAAGUUCCAUUUUCAUUAUUUAAGUAAUUUAUCCCUAAAUAUGUCUAUUUUCUCAUUUUUUAAAUUCCAACACCUAGUUCUUGGACACCAGUUACUUUCACCUCUUCUCCUCCAUGUAUUUAUACAGACAUCCAUUACUAUAAGCCUAUGUUGGGUAGUCAAACUCUCUCCUGGGGUAGUCUUUACAUGAUAGUCGAUCUGCCUUCUUAACUAGGAAGAGGUCUAUUUGGCUUUUAUGUGUUCCACUUUUAUAGGUUUUUAAAUGUUCAUCCCGCGUUUUAAAGUAAGUAUUUGCUAUUGCUAGGUUGUAGGACAUAGCAAAAUCUAUAAUAGUCUCACCCAUGUACAUGAAAGUUUAUAACUUCGAAAAAACCAUGACAACCAAUGGUUUAAAAAACGGAUCGGUGCUUUGGAUUGGGCACCUUAAAAACCCAUCCGGAUCGAUGAAUCGACGAUCCGAAUCGAGAAUCUGUUGAAUCGGUCAGAUUAAGCCUUAAAAAAAAUCCCAAAAAAUUAUUAAAAUUCAUUAUAAAUGCUGUUUUUUUAGGAAUCCAAUAACAAAUGGGGGAACUCCAUUAAAAAUUUUCAUUUUUUUGCAUGAAAAUGCAAAUAUUGAUACGUUCUUUCCUUGCAUGAACUAUUGUUUACCAUUUAAUUUAUAGCACACAAAAGGAUAAGCAUAGAAUUAUCAUGGAUUAAGUACAUCAUCAUACAUGGAGUACAAUAAAGCCUACAAUUCGUAAAAUACGACCUAAAAAUAAAAUAACAUACGGCGUCGUUCUUCGUCUUGGUCAUGCUGGUGCCAUUGAUUGAAUUCGCGUGAUAAUUCAUUGACUCGAUCUAAAAACGAAUCAUCCAAAUUAGUGGGCACUUGACUAUACCCAAAUCUCUGAGUGUUAGUGUUUUGUUGCGCUCCUAAUCCAAAAUCUCCGAAGGUUGUCCAUCCUUUAUGCUCACCUACAUUAUAUAGUCAUUCAAGCUAAUAUAAUUAUAAAAUAUGUAUCAAGAAUAUACAUACAUUUUAUAGAUCAACAUCCAAUUUUUUGCAUUAAAAAUUUAAUAAUAACAUUGAAAAAUACAAGUUAAUUUAAUCACUGGUUUUCAUGAUAGCACCGCCUAGCCUACUCAAAACCUCUUUUAAAAUUAGUUUCUAGCAAGUAUAUAACAAUAUGUUGGCACAAUCCCAACUCAAUUAAAAUGAGCACAAAUAGUCAUACAUCUCAAUUACAAAAAUGCAAGAUAAUAUAAUUAAACAUGCAUGCUCCAAACAUGCCUACAACUCAAUUAUCAAGAAUAUAUAUACAAUUUAUGUAUCAACAUAUAUUUUUUUUGCUUUAAAAAUUUAACAAUAAAAUUGAAAAAUGCAAUAUAAUAUAAUUAUCAUACAUGCCAUGAUUUUUUUACAAUGAUAUUCAUACAUUUAAUACCAAGAAUAUACAUACAUGCUACAAAUAAUAUUUAUCAAUAAUAUACAUACAUUUUAUGCAUUAAAAAUAAAAAAUACAAUUUAACAAUAAAAAUAAAAAAAAAUUUGCGUUAAAAAUUUAACAACAUGUAUUUUUUUGCAUCAAUAAUCUAUCAACACACAAUUUGUUGCAUUAAAAUUUUAACAAUACAGUUUAAUUCCUCAUGAUAAUCAAAACCUGGUCACAAUUUUCACAAUUUUUUAGAAAAUCACGAUUUUUCAAAAAACUCGAUCAUCAAAAUUUCAAUGUUUAAAACACGUAGCAACAACUCCUCUUCGUCCAAAAUCGAGUAAUAAAAGUUGCUUAAUCCAACAAAUUAUACCCAAAAUCAAUUGAAGAAUAAUAUUACCUUAAAAAACCCUCUGAAAUAAUUCAUAAUAGUGCUUCAAUUCGUCUCAUAUUUGUAGUUUGGAGAAGAAAAAUAACCCCUAACUGUUCUUCAUAAAAUCGUGACUCAAAAUCGAAAGUCCACUACAAAUCAACCCAAAAAUGGAAGAUAAGAUGCAAAUAUUUCGGAAUAACAUCAUAAAGAAGUAAAACCCUAUGAUAUGGACACAAACUGAUCGAAAUCAAUUAAAUGGCGGAAAAUGCAUGUUUUUCUGAAACCGACUUUUCAAAUCCAAACUUCACUUCUAAUCGACCAAAAUCAACAAAAAAAGUGUGCAAUGAUGAAUAACACAAACACGACUAAUUUCCCUCUGAUUUCAUAAAAAAUAGUGACCUAUUUCUUCUGUAAUCCAACGAAUGCCUGAAAAAAAAAAAAACACAUACCCAACUUGACAACAGUGAUUUGAACUAAAAAAUCCACCUCAAAUCGAACAAAAUAGAUCAAAUUGGAUACAUUUUAUAAUAAAUAACACUUUAAGGAAUCAAAAUCCUACACUAUGAACAAAUUAUUUGCUAAAACUUGAAUACAAUCGAUUAAAUGGCGGAAAACCGAAGUUCUUACAUGUUUUUCUGCAACCAUGGCUUCAAACUCAAAUCUGACUUGUAAUUGAUCAAAAUAAUCACUAAGUAUGAAUAAUUUCUUUUUAAUAACACUCUUAAGAUUAGUAAUCCUAUGAUUUUAUAAAAAAUGGUGCCCUAUUUUGCUUGAAAUCUACGAAAUAGCGGAAACCUAAUAAAAUACUCUUGUUCUUCACAAAUCCGAUGAUUUGUGAUCGAAAUUGAAGCUUGAAGCUCCAAUAUAUCGGACAAUAAGGCUGAAAAUUUAAAGAUAAAAGCUCAAAUAUUCUAUUCAAAGGUUGAAAAAGCAAAACAAUGAUAAAAAAACAGCCAAAAUUUGAUGAUCCAUAAACUUUUUUACUGUUUACCUGUGUUUUAAGAAUGAUUCGGGCGAUUCACUGUUCAGAAUCACUCGGUUCUCUCUAGACAAGGGGUGUUUUGCUGGAACCAGCACGGGGUGCUGAUUCCCGAGUCGAACAGGGCGAGUUCAAUUCAACUCGCCGAAUUUUUAAACACUGAUGACAACUAUAGUUGGAUCUAAGGAAAUAUGAUGUCAAAGAAAUAUCAAAAAGUACAAUUUAUGGUAAAUAAAUGUUGUUUUAGGAUAUCCUUAGUCUGAUUUUCAAUUGGUUGUUUAUCUUACUUGAAACAUAACAGAGUUGCAUUGCCGAUUCUUGUUCUCAUAUGGCUGUUCUUUCAAAUGUGUAGCUUCUUAGUUCAUUGGUAUUUGAGAGUCUCGGGAUAAAAUCUCAUCAUCUGUGUUUAGUGUUACUCUUGCAUUGUGUUGGUCCGAAAGAAGUCAAAUAUUGUUUAGAUGGCCAAGGAUAUUUAAACCCUCGUGAGUUGAACGGUUGAGAUUUUAUAAAGCCAUAUCCAACAACCAAUAAUUGGUUGCAUAUUUUAUUUUUUAUUUUUUAAAUAAAAAUAAUAAUUAAAAAAUAUAUUAAAUAAAAUAAUGACCAAAAUACCCUUAAAUUUAUUUUGAUUUAUAUUUUUAUUCAAAAUACUUUUAUAAUUUUUAUUAUAAAAAUGAGGCUAAACCCAAAGUUUAAAUCAAUAUAAUUUUUAAUUUAUAAAUGAUGAAUAUCAUUUAUCACGAAUCCUGAGUCUAUGUUAUAUUAUCAUGUUAGGGUGCUCCUCUUAAACAAUGUGCUUUACUAUGCAGGUGCAGUGAGAAAUAACUAAAGGCCAGUUUGGAUGUACUUAAAAUUGGAAUAUUUUUGGAUUGCAAUUCAAAAAUCUUGUGAAACUGACUUUGACCGUUUGGACAAUUGCACGUUUUUUUCAUAUUUUUAAAUUGAGAGAAAAAAAAAUGUUUUUACCAUAUUUUUAGAUUAAAAGAAAAAUAAAAUCUUAUACCAAGACAAUCAUAUUUUUAAAUUGAGAGAAAAAAAAAUGUUUUUACCAGNNNNNNNNNNNNNNNNNNNNNNNNNNNNNNNNNNNNNNNNNNNNNNNNNNNNNNNNNNNNNNNNNNNNNNNNNNNNNNNNNNNNNNNNNNNNNNNNNNNNNNNNNNNNNNNNNNNNNNNNNNNNNNNNNNNNNNNNNNNNNNNNNNNNNNNNNNNNNNNNNNNNNNNNNNNNNNNNNNNNNNNNNNNNNNNNNNNNNNNNNNNNNNNNNNNNNNNNNNNNNNNNNNNNNNNNNNNNNNNNNNNNNNNNNNNNNNNNNNNNNNNNNNNNNNNNNNNNNNNNNNNNNNNNNNNNNNNNNNNNNNNNNNNNNNNNNNNNNNNNNNNNNNNNNNNNNNNNNNNNNNNNNNNNNNNNNNNNNNNNNNNNNNNNNNNNNNNNNNNNNNNNNNNNNNNNNNNNNNNNNNNNNNNNNNNNNNNNNNNNNNNNNNNNNNNNNNNNNNNNNNNNNNNNNNNNNNNNNNNNNNNNNNNNNNNNNNNNNNNNNNNNNNNNNNNNNNNNNNNNNNNNNNNNNNNNNNNNNNNNNNNNNNNNNNNNNNNNNNNNNNNNNNNNNNNNNNNNNNNNNNNNNNNNNNNNNNNNNNNNNNNNNNNNNNNNNNNNNNNNNNNNNNNNNNNNNNNNNNNNNNNNNNNNNNNNNNNNNNNNNNNNNNNNNNNNNNNNNNNNNNNNNNNNNNNNNNNNNNNNNNNNNNNNNNNNNNNNNNNNNNNNNNNNNNNNNNNNNNNNNNNNNNNNNNNNNNNNNNNNNNNNNNNNNNNNNNNNNNNNNNNNNNNNNNNNNNNNNNNNNNNNNNNNNNNNNNNNNNNNNNNNNNNNNNNNNNNNNNNNNNNNNNNNNNNNNNNNNNNNNNNNNNNNNNNNNNNNNNNNNNNNNNNNNNNNNNNNNNNNNNNNNNNNNNNNNNNNNNNNNNNNNNNNNNNNNNNNNNNNNNNNNNNNNNNNNNNNNNNNNNNNNNNNNNNNNNNNNNNNNNNNNNNNNNNNNNNNNNNNNNNNNNNNNNNNNNNNNNNNNNNNNNNNNNNNNNNNNNNNNNNNNNNNNNNNNNNNNNNNNNNNNNNNNNNNNNNNNNNNNNNNNNNNNNNNNNNNNNNNNNNNNNNNNNNNNNNNNNNNNNNNNNNNNNNNNNNNNNNNNNNNNNNNNNNNNNNNNNNNNNNNNNNNNNNNNNNNNNNNNNNNNNNNNNNNNNNNNNNNNNNNNNNNNNNNNNNNNNNNNNNNNNNNNNNNNNNNNNNNNNNNNNNNNNNNNNNNNNNNNNNNNNNNNNNNNNNNNNNNNNNNNNNNNNNNNNNNNNNNNNNNNNNNNNNNNNNNNNNNNNNNNNNNNNNNNNNNNNNNNNNNNNNNNNNNNNNNNNNNNNNNNNNNNNNNNNNNNNNNNNNNNNNNNNNNNNNNNNNNNNNNNNNNNNNNNNNNNNNNNNNNNNNNNNNNNNNNNNNNNNNNNNNNNNNNNNNNNNNNNNNNNNNNNNNNNNNNNNNNNNNNNNNNNNNNNNNNNNNNNNNNNNNNNNNNNNNNNNNNNNNNNNNNNNNNNNNNNNNNNNNNNNNNNNNNNNNNNNNNNNNNNNNNNNNNNNNNNNNNNNNNNNNNNNNNNNNNNNNNNNNNNNNNNNNNNNNNNNNNNNNNNNNNNNNNNNNNNNNNNNNNGAUUCGCCGAUCCGAAUCGCCGAUUCGCCGAUCCGGAUCGGUUUUUGAAAAGCCCGAUCCGGAUCACCGAUCCGGUUUUUAAACCAUUGGUUUUUACCAUACUUUUAGAUUAAAAGAAAAAUAAAAUCUUAUACCAACGCAAAAAUUGCGAUCCAAAAAGUUUCAAGUUAAAUUUGCAUUUUUUUUUUGGCUUGAGUCGUGUUUUUCGCGCCCCUCUCUCUCUCUCUAACCCUCACGCUGUUCCCUCUCCUUUCGGCUUUUCCCUCGUCUCCUUCUGCUCUCUCUCAUGCGCGAGAAGAACUCCUUCUGCUCUCUCUCAUGCGCGAGAAGAAAACUCAAAGCUCUGCACUCUCUCUCUCUCUCUCAAAAGCGCUUAUCACUCUCUUCCUGGUUUUUCCCUGAAGGGACGUUACCAUUUUUUGAACGGUUCAUAGCCAUGGCUGUGGAGGUGAAAGUUGAGAGCUGUAAGCAAACGGAUUUCCAUUCUAGGGCUCUUAGUGUUUCAGAUUGGAGAUCCACAGGAACCCUAGUCGCAUUAGGGAUUAAUGGAGGGUUGGAUGCUCUUAUGGUUUUGAGGAGAAGUGGAUUGCAGAGGGAGAAACUGUGAAAUACAUGCAUUUUUACAGGGAAAGUUAGGCUAUUAUAGAAGGCGCUGUGGAGGUGAGAGACAUCCAUCAAGUUAGGGUUUUGAGAAAGAGUGGGCUGUAGAGAGAGACUGUGAAAUACAGGGGUUUUUACAUGGAAAAUCAAGGUCUUGUACUGGAUGUUAUGGAGGUGAGAGGCAUCCAUUAAUUUAAGGUUCGAGAAAAAGUGGAUUGCAGAUGGAGAAACUCUCGAGUACAGGGUUCUUGCAAAGAAAGUUAGGGCCUUGUCAAAGUUAACAUUAUCAGAAAAAGAAAAUUAGGGCCUUGUAGAAGGUCUUAUUGAGAGAGACAACCAUUAACUUAGGGUUUUCAGAAAGAAUGGAUUGUAGAGAGAAAAACUGUUUGGAUACGAGUUCCUCGUUCUAGAGGGGCUUUUCGAUGCUUCUCUAUCAAAGCUUUUCGAUGCUUCUCUAUCAAAGCUCCUCAAAUGGUGGACUUGCUUCCAUGUUGCAGGUCUCUCUCUCAUGAUCUUUGAAUUCUGGCGAAUUUUGGCCUGAAAAUGGCGAGAUUUUGCCGAAAGUUAUGAUAACAGAAUUGGGUCCUUUUCUGGUCGCGAAGAUUGGGUGUGGUUGAUAGGGAACCAAGAUGGUAAAUGGUUUUUUUUUGACAAAUCAAUGAAAUUAGACACCCAAAAAGUCUAUCAACAUAAUAAAAUAAGAUGAUAAUGUUUUUCAAUUGAGGUAGAAAAAUUUGUAAUUUUUUUGGUUAGUGAAUAUUUUUUUUUUUGACAUCCAAACUGGCCUUAAGGUUUAGUUAGAGCAUUGUUAUAUUGAGGGUACGAUCUUUGAUAGAGAAAAAUGGAAGAACAAGAUUUAUGGAGUCGAUCCCAAAUAAUUGCAUCUUAAAUAAUGAUGAUGAUGAUUAUUUUUAAUUCAAAAAAAUAAAAAAUGGAUUUUAGUUUUAACCCUUGGAUGAGGAUGGUUCAAUCUGAACCAUUAGAAAGUGCUUCUGAACCUUUUCAGCAUCCACAACAUGUCGACACAAUACCAACCCUUUUUUUAUAUACAAGUUAUACUUUAGGCUGUAAGUGAAAGUCCGUUAUACCCUUAGUACCAAGGUUGUCUAGUUCGGACUGGAACUGGUCAACAGUGGACAUUCCAGUUGGGUUCGGCCCCUUGGAGUAGAUUGUCCAUUGGACAGGUCAUGAUCAAGUGGACUAGCCAGUUAGUGGUUCGUUAUCAAACAGAUGGAUCCCGAUAACAAUGUGACAUUGUUUUUCGGCCCCCUUUAUUUUUUCUUUUUCAUUUACGUAACUUGUGGAGUUUUUUUGGGUAUUUUUAAAUUGUUCUUGGUCUGUUGGAUGAGAAGGAUGACUUUUGGGGUUUAAGACCUAUUUUUAGAGAGAAAACAUAUAUGGCGAUAUUCUCUCUCCCUCGCUCUCUACUGAAAUACUCUCCAUCCCCUCAUUUUUUCGGUGACUUUUAGUGAUGAUUCUGGCCAUCAACCUGCUGCAAUUAAUUUACAAAGUAAGUCUAUUAAACCAUUAUUUUUUGUUUUAUGAUUAGAAAAAAUAGAUUUUUUUUUAUUUUUAAGGUUUUUUGUAAACAAUUUUUUCUUUUCAAGUCAAUACGAAAUAAUGUUCUUUAUAUUGAUUUUAAUGGUUGUUUUUAUCAUUAUUAAGUUUUUUUUUGAAUAUUUAAUGGUUGUUUUAUAGUUAUUAAGCUUUUAGUUUGUUCUUUAGUACUUGUAGUUUUGGACAAACCUAUGGCCCAUGGGGUGGAGAUUUGAGGAUGUGGAGUUUAUGAACUUGUGGGUUUGACUUUCUUUGAUAUAUUUUUAUGUUGUUCCCAUGUUAUAUCCAUUUUUUGUUCCUUAACUAUGUUUCCUUUUUUAUUUUUUUCUAAAUUUCCUAUAUUUUUCUACUUUUUACCCCAUAUUUUCCCUACUUUUUCCCUUUUUUUAAUUGUGUGACUAUUCUGGACCGGCCAGUCUGACCGGACCAGUGCCCUCAAUGGUUUGGUCAUCGGUCUAUACUGAUAAAAUUACUUAAUCUCACUUUUUUUUUGGGUAAAUCGAAAGGGUGAGGUUGUUUGGCUUGCCCAAAAGCAUGACCAAAGUAUGCUAAAUAUAUUAAAGUCAAGUAUAUAAAAAAGGAAAUGUAUGGCACAUUCAUACUAAGAGCUUAUGAGUUACCUCCAUUGAGUGUGAUUAUGUUGAAGAGCAUGAAACCAUGCUAUGAUACCAUGAAAGCAAACAGGAAAUAUGAAAGAAAACAAGAAAUGGGACUGCCCACAUGACUUUGAGGAAGGAACACAAGAAGAAGAAAUGGGGGAUGCAUAUCACACGACCUGCGCGUUCAUAAUAUAUCUUUUAUAUAAAGGUUAUACACCUUAGGGUUAAAAGUGAAAUUCCAGUUAUAUCCAUAGUAAAUUUCAAUAUUGCAUUAUAUCUCAAAUGUGUACAUCAUCAUCAUCAUCAAUUCUGCUCUAUCAACAGGGAAUGCCUUAGCAUGAGUAUGUAAUGCUAGAUCAAGAUUCACGAUAGAGAGGUGACAAAAGUUUUACGCUGGCUGCCAACCUAACACAAACCUCCUUUAUCAAAUAGUGGCGUUAUCUCAAAUACGUGCAGAAUUAAGGAAAUACCGUCGAGGUAAUAUGCCAUCCUUGAUAGGAAGAAUGUUGAAGUGUUUAAGACUUUGUUUUGGAAACUGGACUAGAUCAACCUCUCAGGAAACAAUAUGCAUAAUAAUGGUCCAAUCCAAAUAAUAAUAUAAUUACUGGCCGGUCUUAUUUUUGAAAUCAACUCAAAUCCUUUAUUAAUCUUGGAAACAGGGCUUUAUAUAAAAUGUUCAUAUAUCAUCUACGCAUGAUUGGAGGAGGAUGCAGCCUGCAUUCCUUGAAGAUAAAGUAUGACCCAUUAUAUUAGGGGAUUGCCACCUGAACACAUGGUUUUCCUAUUCUCUACUGCAAAUCAUUGGGGCAAAAUGUAGACAGGUCAAGUUUUCUUAUCCCUGCCUGUUUAGGAAUAACAUAAAAAGGUACAAAUAGCAUAAACAUAGCUGCAAAUAGCAGCCCCAUAUCUUUAUAUAUCAAAUAUAUAACGGUUUAAAAAUUCUAUUUAGAAAUUUAUUUGGUAAACAUCUCUGUAGUAUUUAGUACUUUCAAACUUUGUCUUGAUUCUUUGCUCUUUUAGAAGUUUGUUAUUAUUUUGCUAUUGAUAAUAAUUUUAUUUCUAUAAUUAAAUGUCAGAAUGGUAGCAUUCCCUAACCAUUUUGAAUUACUUGUCAAAUUGGAAAAGACUCCAUCAUCUACUUUAUUGGUUCAACAACUGGUUCACUGUUUGGAGCCUCAGUUCAAAAUUUAAGUCGAAUCCAGUAACAUCAGAUUCUUUCGCUCAUUCUCAUAAAAUGAAUCCCCAUACUUCUACAAAUAUUCAUCAAAUAGUUUUUAUUUGUACAAACCAAAAUGGAGUUUUGAAAAUGAAUAUUGUGAUGAUGUUCGAGAUGGGGCACUCCCAAACAAUAGAUAAUUGGAAGUAUUUAAUUCGUUGUUCUUGACAAAAUAAUAGUUCUUAUUUCCAGUGUCUCAAAUUGUUCUCAUUUCGAGCAUUAGGUGCCAAUCUUCUAGAUAUUGUUGCUAGAAAAUUUUUUCUUUGUCUAAAGAGCAUUUGUUUCUCAGUUACACCUUUCUCAGUAUGAUUUCAAUAUAUGCAUGAAAGCAAUGAUUUCAGUUGAAAGGAUUACGUAGGGCAUUAAUAUUUUCAAAAUAUUUUUUAAUACAAUGAUUUCAGUUAGCAAGAGUUACAAGUAGUAUUUACUUUGAUUUAGCAUUCAAUGUAUAUAUAGUCAUUAACAAAAACAUUCUGUGGGUUAGAUGAUCGGAUACUCUCAAAAGAAAAAAGUAUUAGAUGAUCCAAUUUCCGUACAUAAUAUAGCAUUUUAUCUGUGUUUUUGUACAUAUUUCAAGUUAUUAGAUUGCAUUUGUUCGCAUCGACAAAAAUAUUCAAAUCCACGCAAAAACUCUUGUCACCUAUAAGUCUUUGCUCUUCAAAUUCUUUAUUGUUUUCUUGCAGUAAUGAUUUACGUAGUACUGUUUGGGAUCCCAGGAUGUUGUUCCCUUGGUGAUUCCUGAUGCAAAAUCAUAAUCUGCUCUCUUCUCCAUUGAUGAUGAACCAGUUUUUUCCAUACUCAUACAAUCUUUAAAGGAACAGAUUACAAUUAACAAUAAAAGAAAUUAGUUCUUUUCUUUUCUGUUUUUUUAAAUGUAUUUCUAGAUGGGCCUCUUACUUCGCUUUAAGAUUUACAUUUCAUUCACCAGUUCUUUUAGGUUUUCAAUUUGAUCUCAGUCUUAUCAUAAGGCUAAACUACAUUUCUCACAGUUUUAAUCUGUUCUGACGAUAUUCUUAAAUUAUUUGUGGAGCAGAGUGAAUAUCCCAUGUUUGUCGAUGGUGAUCAUGAUUUUCUUCGUUCGUGAUUUCUAACUUCUCUAAAUCGUUAAAUUAACCUCUGAUGUGACUGGGUGGGGAGCAACCUAGGUCAGAGGAAUCUGGGUCUCAACUUCUCUAAAUCGUUGAAUUAACCUCUGAUGUGACUGGGUGGGGAGCAACCUUGGUCAGAGGAAUCUGGGUCUCAACAUUCAGAAUCCAUUGCAAGUAACCCAACUACAAUUUUCUUCAGUUAAGAGUUGAGCGCACAAACUUUUAUGCAACCUAAUCUAAUUUCAGGAAUGGCAACCCAUAUACAGGUCAAAGAGUUCUCAUUGAUUGGAUUGGUUGUUGGUUACCCGCUAACUCUGCAAGGGACUGCAAAUCCACAGUACAAUUUGCUUGUGGUGGGAAUUAGGAGUGUGUGGCAUGACAUUGUAAUUUUUUUUCUUGAAUGCAGUUUGUUUUUGGGUUGAAAUAGGUGCAAGUAAAGGUUUUUGUGGAGGAGCUCCACUGGACGAGGCAGCUCGAUGGUUUGAGCUACACAUACUGGGAUGAGUGAUUUACAUCAAAGGUGAAAAGCCAAGUUUUGAACUUUCUGUGACGAGGUGUUAUCAAAAUGGUACUGAACAAAUGUUUUUUCCUUUCAGUCUGUUGAAGCUCUCUUGAAACCUUGGACGUCCACCCAGUGCUGUCUAAACCUAUCAUAGAUAAGUUUGCUGCAUUAGGAAUACUUCAGGUUGGUCUCUCUCUCNNNNNNNNNNNNNNNNNNNNNNNNNNNNNNUUGCAUACUUUCAUCAUCGUCCAAAGUUCAUUGUACGGUCACGAUUGUCUUGUAGUGCUUUAUUUUUCAUUUUUUUCUAGAAAUCGAAAUGACCUGAAAUUUGGUGUGUAUGUACAUCUUAGUGAGACGCACCUAAUAAAAAUAUAAAAAAAUAAUACUUCAAGAAAAUAAAUUGACUAAAAUACCCCCGAUAAGUUUUGGGGGUAUUUUGGUCAAUUUGUUUUAUCGAAUUGUUAUUUUUUAUAUUUUUAUUAGAUGCGCCUCACUAAGAUGUAUAUACGCUCCAAAUUUCAGGUCAUUCUGAUUUGUAAAGAAAAAAUGAAACACUACCCGACAAUCGUGACCAUGCGAUGAACUUUGGAUGGUGAUGAGAGCAAACGAAAUCACUGUUCAUUUUCACCUAUAGGCGUUGGGAAGAUUUUUUCCCUCUCUCUACCUCUCUCUCUCUAUAUAUAUAUGCACUUGGUUCUAUGGAGAAAUAAAGCUUGUGUUGACUGUGGCUCAUGUUAGACAGGGCUACCUGGACCAUGUACACAGAAAUAUGAAGGCCAGUGAACCAGAAUCUAAUGACUAAAAGAAAAAGAAGGACUAGAGCAAACCUGAAGCAUGACCAUUAACGGUGGCUAGGCUAGAAUAGUAGAUUGCAGCUUAGAGAUUUGGGCUUUUAAAUCCUUUUUCUCGAGCAUAUUGACUCCUAUGGAAUUCCUCACUGACCUAGUGAAUAUGUGAGAGACUAAUUGCUAACAUCAUUACUGGAAAGCUAGAAAGCUUUAUGUAAUUAAACUUGCUGUGGCUUGUGCAUUAAUGGAAAAAUUAGUUCAUACUGGGUGCGUAUUGCAAAUUGUUGGCAACAAAUGCGCAAUAAUGCUGUUAUAUGAGAGCGAAAUUCAUGCAUUAACAUAUGAGAGAGAGAGAGCACUUUCAACCAUGUGAUGCAUUAUCCAGUCCAUCCAAUCAAUGUGGGGAAUCAGUGGAAUCAUAUCUUCACAAUUGAAUAGAAUUGGAAGAUCCAAAAUCUACCAGCAAGAUUCCUAUGGGUUUUUAUAUUAGAAUAUAGUUACUUUUAUUUUGGGCAAAUUUUUGAUGAAGUUUUAUGUGCAUCCCAUGUAUUCCUCACGGUUUUCGGAUUUAGGACCUGAAACCCUUCUUAGACCUUUGCAAGUCUAUUUCAAGCGCAAGAUGUUAAUCUGGAGCACCAAAAAUAUUUAGGUCUGGUGAUCUUAAGAAUCGAGGACAGUCUAGAUCCUUGAUCAUAAAGGCUGAGGAUAGAUUUGUACAGAGUUUUGGGGUCCUCUAUCCAUUCAAGAUGGAUUUUGAAAAUAUGGACGCACCCUAAAAGAUCAAAUUUUGAUGAGUACAUAAGAUAUAAACAUUUAAUCGGAUUGGAUCGCCUGGUCCGAUUACCAACUGGUGCCUUGGCUUUCUGGUAUAAAAUAAAAAAUUGGUGUGGUAAAAAAGUCAUGAAAACCAAUAUUUGAUACUUGUUGGUUUUGACUAGUUGAAAUGCUUUAACAAAAAGGUGUGGUUUGUAUAGAGCUUAGGCCUUAAACAAUCAAAUUAGAGCCUACCUUCAAAUAGUGUCGAGAAAUGUGAUUUCAAUACUAAAAUUUUUUGUGAUAGACUUAAAAUAUAUUUUUAUAUUUAUUUAUAAAGUUUAAAGCUUAAAAAAUAGUGCAGAUCGACAUAUCUAUGAAAACUUGAAAAUCUUUAAAAUUGACCGUCCAAAAAUGCAUUACAAAAUACACUAUUUCCAAAACUUGAAAUCCAUUUUUUUUUCAUGUCCAUGCAUCUUGAUGUCGAGAUGAUCAAUUUGAAGAUAUUUGAACAUCAAAACAAUCUCUUCUAGUGAAAGUUUUGAGGUAGGCUCAAAUUUGAUUGUUUAGAGCCCUCGGCUCUAUAUAAACUUUUCUCUUAACAAAAUUGCUAUCUUUUAUAAUAUACUUUAUAUAUAUACACUAUUAUUCCUUCUAUAUUAUUUUUCAAAAAUCUAAUCCAACUUGUUUGAUAAGCAAUAAGCUGGUUUCAACUUGAUUAGACCCUCACUAAUUUGGUGGUUGAUCUGACCCUGAUAAAAUUGGUCUACGUUUUGCAAAACACUAGCAAGUUAUAUUGUUCUUAAUUGUCACAAUCACCAAAUAUACGGUGUCUUCUUUUACAACCCAUGAUUGGGGAAUAAAUCAUUUUUUUUCGCAGUUGCAAAUAUUCGACGUGAUAUAAGUAUCACACGUUAAUAAUUUAGGAGUGGCAAUGGCCUAGCCUGGCCCUCCACUGCUCUAAAUAACCUGGCUUGGGGGCUCAAAUCUAGGUUUGGCCCACGGUUGGUCUGGGUUGGGGGCUCAAGUCUCGGUUGGUCUGGGUUGGCGGCUCAAAUCUAGGUUUGGUGGCCAUGCUGGGUUUGAAACAGGGGUUAAUAGCUUAGCCUGCCCUGGCCUACUACUAAGAUUAUAAUGUACAUAUUGUAGACUAGACAAUGCUGCUACAGUCUCUUUACUCAAUGGACAAUUAUAGCAUAUCGACAACGAAUUUAAUUUCAUUAUACGCCGUAGACACCUCUUUUGAAAUUCUGGUUAAGGGAAAUUUUAAAAACGUCAAUUAUGAGAUCAAAAGACCACACAAACCCCAGUAGGCUAUAGAUGACCUAGACACAAUAUAAUUAUCUCAAAUUUGUCCAAAACCUCUCCCAAGUCGUAGUAGACCCCGAGAGCUUUCAAAUGGUCCAAGAAUCACUUGAAUCAGACUUUCGAUUAAAAAGUUCCAAAAAAUAACAUUCCAGUCCCUGCCUAAUGGGCAUGGGGCAUGCUGGCCGACCGAUGCUCCACUCAUCGUGCGGGUCACCAGGUCCCGUGUAGAAUGGCCUGAUGGACCCAGCCCAGCCCACUAACCUUCUAGAAGGUUUUAGGUUGGUUUCAAGCCCCAAAAAAAAUUGAAUAAAAUUAAAAGAAAUAUGAAAAAAUCCCUAGAUAAAGCCUAAUUAACCAAAAAAUUAUUUGGCUUAAUUUCAACCUUAACCCUACUUCAAACCUAUAAAUAACCCCUCAAAAAGUAGAAAAGUAGCUUCAUAAACUCAAAAAAACCCUUAGAUUUAAUAUUAGGAAAAAUAAGCAAAAUCCCAAAAAAUCCCAGAAAAUCUCAAAAUCCUAGAAAAUCUCAAAAUUUAGAUUUAAUAUUAGGAGCCCCAAAAACCUUAAAAAACUAAAGAAAAUCCCUCAUUAACCCCAUGAAAAGCUUAAAUAGAUUUUACCUAAAAUUUCCGACCUUUUUCCCCUGCCUUAGAAAGCCUAGAUCUAUUUCAAAGAAUCUUAGAUCUACUAAUUUCAGCAAGCAUAUGCAUUAAAAAGGAUAUGAUGACGUAAAUUAGAAGAACGACUGGAUCCAAUAUCGAAACUCUUGGUUCUGGGUUCCCAGAGGUAAAUACCUUUUUUUUAUUUAAUUUUAGCUAAUGUUAAUAUUUAAUUUAGUUUUUUUCUUUAUUUUUUGUUAUUUCUUAGUUUGUAAAGUUUUAAAGAGUUUUUAAUGCAAAUACACAGAUCUAGAAGUUGGUGCUGCAAGUGGCCCCAAGAAAGAAUUAGAUCUGAAUAGAGUUGUGCCAAGAAUUAGAUCUGAAUAGAUUUGUGUCAUUCUUGGACCCAUAAUUCAAGCGACUCCACUUUUUUUACCCUUUCAAAUUUAAAUUAGUUUUGUUAAGAUUUGAAAAAAUUUCAUCCCAGAGAGCGGCACAGAUCAGAGCGUAAAUAGUUUGGUGCCCACCGUGGGGCACUUGUGCUUCUAAAUGUGUAUUUUUUGUAUUAAAAACACUUUUCAAAAUUUACAAUUAUUAUUUAAAAAAAAACAAAAAGUAAAAAAAAAAUCUAAAAGGGAAAAAAAGCAGCAGAAAAUCCACAACAUACCCUUGGAUUUCAGUCUAGGGCUCACUAUUUUGCAUGAUACAAAGCAUGUCACACUACCGGAUGCGCCCCGUGUCGUGCAUAGUUUCCCGACAACCCCAUGUCGUGCAACAAACAGGCCGUACGGACAGCUUAAAAAAAUUUCCGGCAGUCCGUCACCUCCUUUCCUACCACUUUUAGUGAUUUUGGCAUAUUCAAUUUCUUUGUUUUUAUUUUCUAUAAAUUCUAAAAAAAUUAAAAAGAUAGCAUAAAUAGAUUUUCGUAGAUUAUUUCUUGUUUCAAUCCAUUAGAUUAGAUUUUUGCCUUAUCUGCAUGCACCUAGUCUUUUUGUUUCAUCCCUUCAAUAUAAUAUUGAUCCUUACUUAAAAUAAGAGAAAAAGAUAAAUUUGAAAAAUAGAUUUUCUUUCAUCAAUAUCUUCUUUUAGAUUCAUCUUUAUCUUUAUAGAUAUCUCUCUAUUUUUUUAAAUCAUAUUUAUUGAUUUAGAUCUUUCUUUAUUUUUUUUAGAUCAUGUUUAUCUCUUUAGAUCUUUAUCUAUGUUUUCAAAUCGUGUUUUCUUUUUGGAUUAAUCUCUAUGUUUUUAGGUCAUAUUUAUCUUUUUAGAUUCAUCUGCCUUUUUAAACCGUGUUUAUCUUUUUUAGAAUGAUCUCUAUCUUUUUAAAUUGUAUUUAUCUUUUUAGAUUCAUCUUCAUAUCUUUAAAGCGUAUUUAUCUCUUAAGAGUAUAUAUAGCCCUUUAGAUUGUGUUUAUCUCUUUAGAGUAUCUUUAGAUCAUUAUCAUCUCUUUAGUGCAUCAUUACCUUUCUAAAGCCAUGGUCAUCUUCUGUUUUGAAUAGAUAAAAGAAAGAAAGAGAAAAAUUCAAAUUUAUUUUUCCCUAUCUUGUCAUGCUUAGAUUAGAAUUUAUCUUCUUUGCUUCAAUCUAGUAUUGUUUUGUCUGCUAGUUUAGAUAUUUUUUCUUAUCAUACCUUGAUUAAAACUAGAUCUCUUCAUGCUUAUCUAGCAUUAGAUUCUAGAUUUUUUUCGCAUGUUUUUUUAUCUCUUAUUGCACGCACACUACUGCUUUUCCACACCAACCACACAUGUAUCAAACAUAUCAAAAUCUUCAAAGUUUUUUAAAAACCUACACUGACUCUGAGGAAACUUGACCACUAAUGCAAACCCACUUCUUAGUAAGGACCGACCUCUCGUAGUCACUGUAGCAGGACCUUAUGUGGGCACCUAUAUCAGCCUAACUCAUUUAAGCUUUUUCUCUAGCUAGGAACACAACUUGGCCUAAUCCACCCGUAGUGACAUUAGGUCAAAAAAGAGUCUUUCAAAUCUAUUUCGCUUGCUUUUGGUGUUGCAUAGUCAUGUCUGUAAUCCAUGGUGGCUCGGAUACUGAAUCCACCACCUCGUCUAGACCUUUUAGGAUGACUAGACUCACAUGACCUUAUGGCUCAAUUCCUUGGGUCUAACCUAUUUCAUGUCAGUCGAAAUCAAGUUCUAGUGGGUCUAUAAUCUCACACACUGGGCUAAGCCUAGCUAGCCCAAUUGUAGUAUGUUUGUGUUGUGCAGUCCAGCAAGUUAGCAUAGUUCGAACCAUCCUAAACAAUCAAGGCAUUCAACCCGGGGCUAAAGAGCCAGGGUCGGACCCCCCAUCAUGUUUUAGGUCUAAGGGAGGGGCUGCCAACUAGGGUCACAUCACCAAAAAAUGUCCAGUUCUAGCGGGCAUGCUGCCCAUUCGACGACUCAACCCCCUUCAUCCUCUCAGCUUAGGGGGCAUGCUGCUCAAUCGAUAGCUCACCCACAAAUGCCUGAGUCUAGGGGAAAUGCUACCCAACCGGUAGCUCAUCCAUCACCAUUAUCCAAGUCUAGGGGUGAUACUGUCCAACUAGGGACACACCACCCAUAUCUGUCUAGCUCUAAGUUGAUGCUUCAUAACUAGGGGCGUACCAUCCACCUCCACAAAAGUUCAGGUCUAAGGGAGGUGUUGUUGAAAUUUACACCAUUAGCGAUACCCUAGUUCCCCCUAACUCACAUGGUCAACUAGAUCCGAGCCAACCUCCUCAGGGUGAGGGCCAAACCUAAUUAGAUCAGAGUCCUCAAAAUACCAAUUCUAAGGGUGUUAAAAGUCAGAAUCCAAGUCGUCAUAGCUCACCCAAUGGGAGCAUGCACCAUGAGUUCCAUUACUUUGAUCUAGAACUCCUGAGUUCCGUGACACCUUUACAUAGAAGAGGUUCAAGAACUUACCUUCAGUCAAGGAUUUCUUGAGGUGUGUUGAACUUGUUAAGCCACACACCUCACCUAAGGCAUUGAUUGUUAGUUAUAUCAGAGUCAGAGAACCUCUUUAGCCUUGACCAACAAGGUCACGUGAGUUCCACCUCAUUGGAGAGCCAGCACAACUAAUCUUCUAGUUCUCUAACUCCUAUAGAUCUGGCUUGACCAUAUGACCGUAUAUCCCGUAGUUAGUCAAGACUUGAUCCUCCUCAGGUCAUGUAUCGUGACUCACCAGCACAGUCUCUUCAAGCUGCCCCGGGUCGUUACCAUCAGUCGCAGGCGGCCUAUUCAGCAUCUAUUCCAACUCAGUAUCCCCUGAGUCAGCCAUACCAAUCGACUCCAUACCCUCAGGUCACACUUUUAGCCUCUAGUCAUCCUUACCCAGGAUAUCCUGUGUAGCAGGCCCUUGUUGUCCACCUCCAAGCCUCGGCACCGGCUUAAUCAGCUCUCAACUUCUUCAAUCUAGGUCACUCCUCAGACCUACCUAUACUAUCCUCUAGUCAGCUUGGCUCAGGUACCAUUGCCUAUGCCUACUCCAUACCAGGCUCCAACCGCCCUAACCCAGGCCUCUUUACUUAAUGUCGGUACAUAAUGCGGCUCCAACCUUCCCACACGCUCACCUUGCCUCUAGUCCGGUGCAACCCUUAUCCGGUCCAUCUCCUGCACCACAAAUUAUGCCAUUAGUUCUGGACAACUAACAGGCCCCUGAGGUUAAAACCCCUGAGGCACUUGAGCUUGCACAACUGAAAGGUGAACUAAAUACAUUUAAAGAGACCUUGGCUAAGAUUGAAGUUCCAAAUAUACUCCCUCCAUGAUCUUAUGUCAAGGAUGUUCUCUAGGAUGUCGAACCCCUUCCUCCGAGUUUUGUGUUCUAGAAGUUUGAAAAUAAGUUUAGCGGGAAGGGUGAUCCUGAAAAUCAUGUCAACACUUACUUGUUGACUGUGGCUAAGGCUGCCAAUGAGUGGGCUCCGGGCUAGCCCUGCCUAAGGCUUGGGAAGCCCAAAAAUAUUUCGGGCUGGCCCAGUUACUCUCGGCUCAGAAAUAAGCUCAACAGGGCUCGGCCUGUUAAAAGCUUGAAAUUUCAUGCGUAAACCAGGCCCAUCUGCUAAGGCCCAAAUAUGCAUACAUAGGGCCGGCCCGACCCUAUUAUUGCUAUAAUUGUUUUUUUUCAAUCUCUCUUUAGACUUUUCAAUUGAAGAUUUGAAGUAAAGAAAAAAAAUUGAUAAUUAAUUUUUUGAAAAUUCAAAACUUCUUUAAAUAAAAAAUACUAGAACUACACAUUUAAAGUACCCACAAAGAGAGAGAGACUCAUAAAUAAUUGUCUAGAUAGAUCAAAUGACACCAUAAAACACACAAAAGCAAAUAAGAGAGGGAUGUAUCCCGAAUGUUUACAUAAAACCUCUUUAUACAUCAAAAAGGGUAAAUAAACAAUAAAAUAAGAGAGAGAGAGAGAGAGAGAGAGAGAGAGAGAGAGAGAGGAGAGAGGAGGAGAGAGGAGGGAGAUGUAUCCUAAAUAUUUUCUUGGCUUAUUAUUGCUUCAAAAAUGCAUCCAAGCGGUACCACCUAAACCAUUCAACAAUUUCAUCAAACCAGCCCCAACCUUCUGAGGGGCAGCCCAUUCCAAAUAAUAGGCUCAAACAAUGAAUACAACCUAUACAACAUGCACAUCAAGUAACUUAGCAAGUAACUAGACAAGAGUUUAAAGGACAUAAUGAUCCUCAUGCAUUAGCUGAAACGAGAUAAAAAUAUAUUUUAAAGAUAUCACAAAGAUUUCCAGUAUUGAAACCACAUUUCUUGGUACUAUUUGAAGGUGGGCUUUACUUUGAUUGUUUAGAGCCUCGAUUCUAUACAAACCUCACCCAAAAUAUAUUGAUAAGAAUAAUUUGAGAAAUAGUGAUCCAACUAAUGCUACUAUUUUCUUCGUUUCUAUUUAAUGAUCAUUGGAGGAAUGAAUUCAAGGAGUAAAUUAGUAUAUUACAAACUGUUCAUUCACGAUUGACAGUUAACACAAUUGGCAGUUAACACAGUAAAGCAAUUAACAGUGUGUUAACAAAGCAAUUAACAAUGUGUUAACUUCAUCAAAGCAAAAGUUACUUCAUCAAAGCAAUUACCAAUGUGUUAACACACUGUUUUACCUUCAGGGCAGUAAACUCGGAGCCAGUCAUGCGUACACAUCAAUGCCUUCACAGUAGCCGGAUGCAGGGAACUACGAUUUUGAUUGAGUACUCGGCCACCUAUGCUAAAGGCUGAUUCUGAGGCACGAUGGACAACUAAAUUGCCCGAAUAUCUCGACCCAAUUUAGAAAAAUAGGAUACUUUGGUGCAUUAAGUUUCCACCAACAUAAGAUGUCAAAGUCCUCGUCUUCACGUCGAGGAACCAAAUCAUCAUCUAAAUAAUGACCCAAAUAUGAGUUUUGGGGAUGAACGACUGAAAUUAGGUUGAGGAAUUGGUUGAAGUUUAAAUGGAGCCUCCUUAUACCUCUAUCAACCAAAGAGCUUGAACUCCCAAAACUACUUGCUUCUUUUUCUAUAUUAGAAGUAAGUUGUCUGUAUGAAACCCAUAUACUUCUCAUAUAAACAAUAGAGGUUAUCCCAAACAAUCUUGAGUUUCACCUCACUUUCAUCAUAAUCACCAUAACUUGUCAAAAAACAAUAUUCUAUAAACUUUAACUAAGAACUAGGAUCCAAAAUUGUUGCUAUUGUCAUUGUCAAGUUGCAUUCACCCCUCCAAUACUUGAAGAACUUUUCUUGCAUUACAAAAUUAUCGAUGUUAUGGUUUCAUCUUGACUAUUUGCUGCUUCCAUUAACAUAUCUUGAAUACCCCAAACCUCUGAAAAGUAAAUAUGUGCUGCAGGAUACUUGCUUCCAGAAAAUAAAUUUAUAGUUUCCUUAAAAACUUUUAAGAACUCACAAAUUACUUCAGUUUUAUUUCAAUCAUCAACAGACGUAGGAUUAUCAUAAUGAUGACUAUUUGUAUAUCGAGCAAAUACCUCUUUAUAAGCCAAUGCACUUUGAAGCAUGUCAAAUGUGGAGUUCCACCUUGUGGGAACAUUCAAGACUAGACCCUUUUUACUUGGCACUCUUAACUAUUUUGUAAUUUCCUUAAAUAUAUGCAUGCGAGAUGGAGAUGGCUAAAUAUAUUUAACAAUCUCAAGCACUAUUUUAAUAGAACUAUGUAUUACUUUCAACCCUGCUUGCACUAUAAUGUUCAAAAUGUAUGCACAACAUCUCAUAUGAAAGUGAUUUCCUUCAAGUAAAAUCUUUUCAGAUAAAUUCUCUUUUAAUUUUUUCACAACCACAUCAUUAGUAGUGCAAUUAUCGAUAGUAAUAGCAAACAAUUUAUCCUUCAAAUUCCAAUAAAAAUAAAGUUUCUUUUACUUUUUUCACAACCAUAUCAUUAGUGGUGCAAUUAUCGAUAGUAAUAAUAAACAAUUUAUCCUUCAAAUUCCAAUAAAAAUGCAUCCUUCAGUUGCAUAAAAAAUAACUAAACCUGAGCACUGAUAUGGACCACCUUGAAAUUUAUGAUUUUUUUUCUUAAAAUCUAAUUACUAUCUAUAUAGUGUGCUAUGAGACACAUUAUCCAAGAGAUUGAUUAGAUGUCCAAAGGUCAGUGGUAAGACUCGCUUGACCAUUCGAUCUCUCUAAAACAUCAAAAAUCAAUUUUUUUUCCACUUGGUAUAUAACCAUGCAAUAAAUUUUUUAAUGUAGUUCAUCCUACCAUAUUAGACUUGGGUUGAAGGUGGUCUUAACAAAUUCUCUAAAAACUGGGUGCUCAACCAGACGAAAUGGGUACUCUUGAAUAAUUAUCAUCUUUGCAAGCUCUUUACGACUUAAUUCUUGGUCAAUCUUAAAUGUUUCAAGGUGCCCAGCUAAUGUCUAUUGAAAAUCCUGAUGUGGAUGCUUAAAACAACCCUAAUAUGAUGAAUAAGGUGGUUUGUCCCAUCAAUAUUGUUUGCCACCAAGUGACGAUUACAAUGCUUACACCUGGUUUUACUUGAACCAUCAUUAGUUUCUAAGGUAAAAUCAUUCCAAACUUUAGAUCUCAACUUCCUUCAUGUUGGACUUGUUGGAGACAGUUGGCUUUCUAGAGUGUUCUCAUUCUCACUAAAUUUAAAAGUCUUUGUUAACAAUUAGCUUAACUCUUAAAAGUCUUGAUUAGGGGAUGGACAACCUUCAAUCAUGUAUACAACAUGAGAAAAAAGGAGCAUAUCAUUCAAACAUCAAAAUAACAUCCAUAAAACUACAUGUAAUAUAAUUAAGAAUGAAUAUAAAAGGUUGGAUAGCCUUCAGUCAUGCAUACAACAAUCAAUAGUACCUCACCCUAAAGAAAUGAAUUGUGAACAAUCAACAAUACUAAAAAAUGAACCGCCAACAGAGCCUUAUCAUUUAAACUUUAAGUAAAGAAUGACAUUGUGAGAAAGGAACUGCAACUGAAAAGAUCUUUAAAUUCAAAGUAGAAUGUCCAUUUUAUUAAAAUUAGGGCAUUUUAAUAAAAAUUACAAACAUAUCAUCACAUGCAUCCUGAUCUGCCUCUCAAACCAUUAAAACUAGAUUUUAGGUCUUCAAGGAAGCAAAUUGUAUUGGGGGAGCUUUAUGCUCUUGACCACCAUCUACAAUAACUUUUCCACAUUAUUCCAAAUUUUUACGGAAUUCAUCAAUUUAAUAUUGUCCAUACUCAAGCAAGAAAAUUACCCUAGCGUCAUGAUAAAUUGAAAAAAGAGACAUACCAUAUUCACAUUCAAGCCCCAUGUAUGUUAAUUGUCACUUCAACUUUCAUGACAUGUAAUUUACCCAUUCGAGAAAAAAGUCAAAAUAAAACACUUGCAUUUUUUAAAGCGCUUCUAGCACUUCUCACUUCCCUUUUAGCUUCUAUUAUUUUAAUGUUCAUCUUAUGAAUUUCAAUUUGUAUAUUCUUAAUUUCUUCUUGCAUUAGUAUAAGUGCCUGCAAAAAACUCAUGUUAUCAAUGUUCUGAUUGACAUCAAAUCACCUUACUUCAUAAACUCAUUAGUAUGGCAUACAUAUUUGACCAAUCCCAACUUCACAAAUUUGUUGUGAAUUGAAAAACACUAAGCUAUGAAUUUUUGAAUAAACUAAACAAAUACGUUUUUCCUCAGAUUGUUCAUAUACCACAAAAAUUAUCAUAAGCUUGAUAAUUCUACCAGAGAACCUAUUAAAUUGGGUCAUGAAACACAUGAAGCAUGAAGAGAUCGAAUUCACAAAGCAAAAAUAGAGCAAUACAACCAAAUUCAAGGAGCUCAGAGAACCAUCCAAGUCGAAAUGAAUAUCAUAUUAUCAACACAAUUCAAUAUAAUACAAAGAUUACAACAUUAACAAGCUCCAAGAAACCAGAAACAGUAACAGUAGAAGUUAAAAGUACUAGUAACACAGUUCCAUCGUCACAAAGAAAAAACAAACAACACCACUAAUUUUCUAUGGAUUGAUAUAGAUAAGUGUGUCUUACCAUAGUAUAUGAAUUUCUUCAGUCAUGGGCUGCGACCUUUUUCAUUUCAAUAGAUGAUAGAUCAAGUCAUCUUUUACAAAAGGUCGAAGGUCAUUGCCGCCAAUGCAAAAUUAGAGAACCCGACAGUAGUCGUACCAUCACAAGCUAAACCAAGGGGCAAAUUAUAACAAUAACAACAAAAAGAACAAUACUAUUGUCCAGAAAGGCCAGAUUGUCGUGGCACCGGUUCCGCCCCAAGCUUAAAAGAUAAAUAACCAGCCUAGUGGCACUGAUAGGACUAGUAACUUCAAUGCAAAUAUUGAAAACAGGAGGCCCUUUUUGGAAGUUAACCUUCCACCACUGUAGGAACCUCUCUCCACAAUAUUAAGUAAGAGUUUGCAAGUGGGGCUCAUUGUUCUUCUAGACCUUGUUUAACCAAAGUAUGUGAUGUGGAUGCCAUAGAAACCACACUCAUAACACUGAAGACUGCUAUAACCUGAAGCACAACAUCCGAGAACUCCUAAGUAAUGGUGUUAUAACAACCAAACAUUUUAAGAAAAGUAUAAGGAAAGAAACAAUAGGUUAAAAAAUACAGGAACUAAGCUCUACAACCAAGAUACUAAACAAGAACUACUAAAAUGCUUUUUAUGUGGUCAGCUAGGUUACUUCAAACCUACUGCUCACAGAAUAGAAACUUGCAAAGUCCAAGGUAAAGUAGAAAUGUGAGUAAGAGGCGUGAAGUUGUUUAUGUGGUCUAUAAGUUCUUCCUUGCAGACCAUGACAUCAAAGGAUGGUGGAUAGACUCAGGCCUUAAUUAGCAUAUUGUAAGCUCAAAAGGCCUUUUCAAAGACUUAAAAGAAAUAAAAGUUGGGGAGAAAGACAUCUACACUUAUUCGUAUGCAUUAAGUGUAUGAACAUGUAGAUUGUAUGUAAAGGCAAUUGAUUUUAUAUUAACUGAUACAUAUUUUCUCCUCGGUAUGAGACAAAUAUUGUAUUUGUCCUCUUGCUCAUUAAAAAGGGCUUUGAAGUCUGCUUCCGAUAAUUGAAAGUAUCAAUCGGAAAGCGUGGAUAAAUUUAUGCUUGAGACACUUGGUUGAUGACCAUAAUUUAUUCCUUCUUCUUGUAAGUGAGAACUACUUAUCUUGGUUAUGUUGAUUGUGCAAUGGUUAUUGAUGCAUAUACUUGACAUCUUAAGCUUGACACAUAGGAAAAGACAAAAUAAAUAGGUUAAUAAAGAAAUGUAUUAUUCCAAACCUAAAUUAUGUAGAAUUUCCAACGUGUCAGCAUUGCUUACUAUGAAAAAAGAUUAAGAAAUCAUUUUAUAAAGGGGAGAGCGCUAAUGAGUUAUUGAAUGUGGUAUACUCAAACAUUUGUAUGCCUCUUAAUGUUAAAACUCAUAGAGGGAUGUCAUACUUCAUCACUUUUAUUGAUGAUUUUUCUAGGUUUGGAUUUGUUUAUCUAAUCCCUCAUAAAUCAGAAGCCUUAGAAAUAUUUAAAUUAUAUAAAAAAGAAGUAAAAAACCAAUUGGAUAGGAAUAUCAAAGUUCUUAAAAUUAAUAUGGGAGGUGAAUACACAUCUGAAGCUUUAAAUACAUAUUGCCAAGAAAAUGGUAUUAAAAGACAAUACCAUAUAGCAGAAAGGCACAAUAGAACUCUCUUAGAAAUAACUAGAUCCAUUAUGGCUCAUGCUAGUUUACCUAUGACGUUUUGGGGAGAAGCAAUAAGCACAUCCAUAUGUAUUUUUAAUAGGGUCCGAAGUAAGGCAAUAGAUUCAACCAAUUAUGAAUCAUGGAUAGGUAGAAGACCUGAUUUAACUAGCUUAAAGAAGUGGGGAUCAAUUGCACAUGUUCUAAUUCCAUAUCAACAAUGAAAAUUUUUUUUAAAAAACUCUGGUUUAUAAUUUUAUAGGAUACCCAAAAGUUUCAAAGGGUUAUAUAUUAUAUCAUAAAGAUAAGGGAGUCGUUGAAAGCAGAGAUGUUGAGUUCAUAGAAGACUUUAAUGAAGAAAACCUACGUAUGGUGGAUUAUGAUAAUCCACUAAAUAUCAUAUGUGACUUAGAACCACCACCUACAAUGGAUAUAGACACCCCUGAUCAACAUGAUGAUGUUGAAGUACUCACAAACGCUAUGUUAAGUGGUCAAAAGAGGUUUAAGCUCCUCCAUCAUACCUUGAUGAUUUCUAUGUCUAUAUGAGUGAUGAUAUAAACAACCUUAUUGACCUAGAUGAAAUCAAUGAUCCUUUUGACUUCAAUGAUGCAAUGAAAUCACAAGAAUUUUAAGAAUGACUUAAUGCCAUAAGAGAAGAAUUAGAUUCUAUUGAGAAAAUAAAAUUUGGGAUCUAUGUGAUUUACCAUCAUAUAGGAAACCUAUAGGUUCCAAAUGGGUGCUUAAAAGGAAGCUAAAAAUCUGAUUGAUCAAUUGAUAAAUUGAAAAUUAGGUUAGUAGCAAAGGGUUUUACCUAAAGAAAGGGAGUCAAUUGUGGUGACACUUGUUCCUCUGUUGCAACAUUUAUUCCCAUUAGAAUAAUUUUGACAAUCAUUGCAUAUUAUGACCUAAAACUUUACUAAAUAGAUGUAAAGACAAAAUUCUUGAAUAGUGAAUUAAAAGAAACCAUCAAUAUGAGAGCUUCAUAAUUAAGGAUCAAGAAAAUAAAAUAUAUAAUUUGAAUAAGUCUUUAUAUGAUUUAAAACAAUCUUCAAGACAACGGUACUUAACAUUUUAUAAUGCCAUCUUAUAGAUGGAAUAUGAAGUAAAUAGAUUGAACCAUUGAGUGUAUGUCUUGACGAGUGGGAGUAAAUUCACAAUAUUCUCAUUAUAUGUGGAUGAUAUCCUGUUAGCUGGAAAUGAUUUAGAAAUGAUUGAUAAGACUAAGUCAUGACUUUCUUCUUAGUUUGAGAUGAAAGAUAUGGGAUAAGCAACUUAUAUUUUAGGUAUAAAAAUAACUAUAGGUAGAAAAUCUAGAAUGUUAUGCUUGAGCCAAGAGAGAUAGCUUGACCAUGUGCUUAAAAGACUUGAAAUGAAAAAAUAUAAACCAUUGUCUACUUCUGUUGAAAAGGGUGUGAAGUUAUCUAGGAAGGAUUGUCCUAUAAAAGGACAUGAAAAACCUAAUGUUCCCUAUGCACAAGCUAUUGGUACCUUACGAUGUAUAAUAGCAGAUUUGAGCUAUACUAUAGGUCUUAUAAGUAAAUUUUAGAACGCAUUGGAAAGUAGUCAAAAGAAUUGUAAGGUACAUUAAGGGAACAAUGCAUCUAAAAUUGUGUUUCAAAAGUGUAAACUUGAUGUUUUAGGAUAUUCAGAUACAAAUUUUGCUGGGGAUAAGGACAAUAGUAAAUCCACCUCAGGGCAUAUUUUCCUCUUUGGAGGAGCAGCUGUUUUUUGGUCUAGUAAGAAAUAGGGUUAUGUUGCUAGGUAUACACAAGAAACAUAGUAGAUUGCAUAUAGCAAUGCAUGUACUUUCACUGUCUGGAUAAAGCGUUUCAGAGAUGACUUGAAGCUGCAAAUAAUCGACAGACCGAUUUAAAUGUUUAUGAUAAUCAAGCUGCAAUUAAGUUAAUACAAAGUAGAGUAAAUAGCUCCAAAUGAAGACAUAUAAAUGUGCAAUAUCACUACAUUCAGGAUGUAGUUGAGAACAAUGAAGCAAUUGUUAGUAACUUGCCCUCAUUAGAUAUGAUCGUUGUUGACAUAUUGACAAAUGAUCUAUACAUUGAACUACUUUCUAAGCAUGCUAACUUGAUGAGACUUAAAAAUGUUUAAGUCUGUUGGUUUCAUGAGUGAUAAAUCAAUAUUAGCAUGAAAGUCCUCAUGAUGAAAAUCAUGGGCAUUUGUUAUGAGAGGCAUAUUCGAGAAAGCUUGAGAAAAACUUCAUGACAAGAUAUUGUCUUAAAGGACAUACUAAAAAGUGGAAGUGUACUUGUGACUUAUUAUUGUGCUCACCCGUCAUGGCCAAGUGAGAGAUGCUGGCAUGUGCGGCCAUGAGCCCUCACGUUGUCUUACCUAUUUCCAUGGAAAUCAACUAUUUUUAUGGGAGUUAUUCUAUAUAUGUUUAUCCAUUAAUAAAUAAGUUUUGUUAAUUGUAAUAUAAAUAAAUGAAUAAUUUAUUUCUCAAUAAAUAAAUUGAAUAGGAUCAAUAAGGUUGUGCUUGCUGAUUUUGCUACCUUAACCCCAUUUUUGCCAUUAAAACUUUUGGAGAAUGCUUCAUGCAUGUGUACUUCUAGCAUAUAAACAACUAGUUUGUGUCGCUUUUAAUAGUGACUACAAUUAAUUUGUACCAAAUAGUGGGAUUUGCAUCAGGGAGGCAAACACUCACUUGAUGACGAGGAUUAGAGUCUCAGGCUUCUAAAUUUGACUUGAUCCUGAUUACUAUCAGUAGCCCCUUUAUGCUUGAGAAAAUUUCACUUCGAGCCAUUUUGGAUGUUCGACUUUCUUGAUGACUUAAGUGGCUAGAUACCUUAAUAAAGACAAGGGGCAAUUCGUAUAAGGUCGAGGCUCUAAACAAUCAAAGUAAAGCGCACCUUCAAUUAGUAUCAAGAAAUGUGGUUUUAAUACUGGAAAACUUUGUAAUAGCCUUAAAAUUUAUUUUCAUCUCUAAUUCUAAAAUUUAAAGCUUAAAAAAUAGUGUAGAUCGAGCGUAUCUAUGAAAACUUAAAAAAUCUUGAAAAUUGAAAGUCCAAAAAUGUAUUAUAAUAUCCACUAUUUCUAAAACUUGAAAUCCAUUUUUUUUCUCAUGUCCAUGCAUCUUGAGAUCGAGCUGAUCAAUUUGAGGAAUUUGAAUAUCAAAACAACCUCUUCUAGUGAUAUUUUUAAGGUGCGUCUUUUAGUGAAACGUUUUCAUACAUAUAUGUGAAUGCAUGCAAUUUAUUGUAAAUUUUCUUUUUACAUUCAUUACAUAGACUUCCAGGUCAUCAAAAAGACGUAGCGAACACCUUUAAAGGGAAAGGCUCAAUAGUAAGAACUUUGAUAUGGGGCUUCCACUAUCCACUUGAUGCUCGUCUUGGAAUGGACGCUUAUCAGACAUGUCCUAAAAGGAUAAUUGUGCGCACUUCACUAAGUAAUAUGUGUCCUUACUUAAUUGGGUAGUUUGAAAGCUUUCCCAUGUCCAGGCAAAUCAGAUUUGGUCUCUCUAGCUACUAGUAUGCACUCAUUCACAUUGCCAUUUAAGGUGUACUAAAUUCUACAAAAUGUCUCUAUGACUGAGCAUUUGGGAAAAAUAUCGCAAAGAUUUAUUAUAUGAGUGUUGCUGGCAACAUUUUGAGCAAUAGCAAAAUAUAAUGGUGCUGCUCUUCUCAUUUCCUCCUUCUAAGGAAUUGGAGAUUCAAAUGAUGCAUAUUAGGAGCAUCACUUACAACAUUUAAAGAUAGAAUGCUGCUCUAUGCUUGAUAAUGGUAGUAUCAUGCUAUCCAAGUCAGGUUGGCCCAAAGGUAACACUCGAGGGUAAGCCUAAGGGCAACAUUUCCAAGAUAAAUGAGGAAAUGAAUGUUGAUGUUGCCAAGGGUAUAUAGAGGAGAGGUAAGACAACAAUCAAAUUGAUAAAGUCAGCCUUUACCAACUCUAAUCAGCUACUUCACUGGUUAAUGCACUGAGCAAAAUGAGGCACAUACCAUUUACUCCUCUGCCUAUGCUAGCGUAUCCAGGGGUUGUUGGUUACUCUUUCAAUUUCUAUUUUUUGGCUUAUGGAUUCAAAAGUGUUAGAACAAAUGGCAAGGAAGGUUGACAUGUUUGUUAAGUUUCUCUUUUCACGUAUGAGGCAUAAGCACUUGAUAGGGAACAAUGUUGCCAAGUAUGUGGUGGGCCAUAGGGUGGUUUGACAAUGUUGUUCCAUUAUCUUCUCUUAGCUCCUACAAUGAGGAGUAUACUCUCAAUAUCCAGAUCAUCUACAAUAUGAUAUUUAUCUUUUUGUUUCUCAAAGGAAUAGGGCUAGAAAAACCUUAUGUGUAAUUAUUGUUUUGUGGGCUUUCUUGUAAAUGGAUAAUUUGUUUUGGACUUCAAAAGAUUUUUUAUACACCAUUUAGUUUUUUUUUUUUUGCUCUUCUGUCUAUGAUGGUUUUCCAUUGUGGAAUCCUAGAUAAGAUCAUCUAAGUAAAAGAUAAGAUGCUUAGAAGUGUUUUUGGGGUCAUUAACCAAAAUAGACCUACCAACAUCAGAACCCUCCGUAAUGGAAGUAUCUGGUAGAGAACCCUUUAUAAGGCAUAAAGAUUGAAAGAGCUAUUAGAUGUCUUUGAUCUAAAUGUUUUGUCCCUUUAACAUGAAGGCUUGCCACCUACUUUGAUAUGAUUACUUGUGCAUGGAAAAUAUUUAAAGUUGGAGAUUCAGAACCAGUCAUGGAAGAGAAUUACAGUUCUUAGAACUGAUAGGGGCAUGAGAUUUUAUGGUGCAUUGUUCUCUCAUAAUCAUAGGACAAGAAACAAUUUCCUAGGCUCCACAACAACAUGGUGUUUUAGAGAGAAAGUAACGUUUCCUACUUCACAUGGUGAGGUCUUAGAUAGCAUGAGCAAGUCUCCAUUUGAACUCAUGGGAGAGACUUAGAUAGCAUGAGCAAGUCUCCAUUUGAACUCAUGGGAGAGACUUUUUAAUUGCUAUAGGCAUCAUGAAUAGGCCGUGUUUAAUAUUCGUAUCCAAAAUACCUUAAGAGUAAUGAAUCAGUAGGAAAAUCCAUCUGUGCCAUUUGAGCUCUUGGGUGUCAAUUGUUCUUAUGAAAUUAGAGUUCCAUAGAGAAAACCUUCACAAGAUGUCAUGAGAACUCUAAUGUAUAUAUACUAGGUUAUGAUUUUGAAAAGGGUGGAAUGAUUGAAUCCCACGAAGUGGACUUUGUUGAAUUGAUGUUCCCAAGCAUGAAGAGGUCUUGGAUAACUUUGGAUUUGUGUGAGAUGGUUAGGUCUCAAACAUAGAAAGGUGAGGAGAUUCCUUCAAUAGAAGAUGUUGGUGCGAGCUUUUUCAUGGUUAUCAAGGAUAGUAGAGCUAGCCACCAUUUAUUCCUACACCUCAAACUAAUAUACAAUGGAUAACUUUGUAGAGAUUUUUUAAGAUUGAUUAGGAGGGUCUAACCUCACUGAUAAGAAUAAACAAGGUUCGUAUUAGGAAGUACUGUGAUUCCUUUUGUAAGCAUUUGGGUUGUCGCGAUGGAUGAGGAGAUUAGUUUCAAGAAGAAGAACCGAGCUUGCGAAUUUCCCCAAAUAGAAAUGCCAACAGGAACAUGUGAGUCCUAAAUAUUAAUAGAAAAGUUGAUAGAAUCAUAAAUAAGUACAAGGACCAAUAGGUGGCAAAAUGACUUAACCAAUUGAUAGUGUGGACAAUGGUGAUAAAUUCUCCCUGGUGGUGAGGAUUAUCUCAAUUCGCCUCAAACUUAUCAUUACAAUGAAUUUGCCUCUGAAUCUUAGCCAAAGUGGAUGUCAAGACAACAUUUAUUAAUUACAAUACGUCACCAUGGACAUUAGCAAUUCCCUAAACUUGUUAUUAUGAAUCAAUGAGAUCAUUGCGGCAAGAAAUGACAAAGAAAUGAUUGUUUCUACUUAAUAAUAGUUAUCUUCUAAUUUUAAUAUGUAGGAUUUGGGCAAAGUGCAUCAUGUACUCAAUACUGAGGUCAAUCACAAUCCUUUUAAGAGGCUCCCUAAUCUUAUGCGACUUACAUAGGAAAAUCCUAGAAUGAUUUGAAUCACUAUCCAUAGAUAGAGGCUCAUAAAAGGAAAGUAUGGUUUGCAUACUCUACGUGCCAUGUUAUGUACAUGUCUGAGGUUGUAGGACUUGUUACUCAAUUACUAGAAUAAUCGGGGUUUGAAACAUAGGUAGGCCAUGAAAAGGAUACUCUGAUACUUCUAAGAAAACGCACACUGCUCGUAGAUCUUCUUGGGAAUGAUCUAUAGUUAUGAGGAUUUAGUGAACCUGAUAGGCUAGAUGUCUUGGAUGAGUGAAAGAUUGUCAUAAGGAUAUGCUUUCACUUUGGGAGUAUGAGCAAUUUAUUGGUGCUACCAAUAACAAACAUGCGUGGAUUUAUUGUUGCAUGUAUUUUUAGUCGUAAUACAAGAUUAAGUACACUUGGAGAAGUUUACAUACAAGCUUGAAGGUAUAAUGCAAGAGAUAAGUAUUAAAUGGACGUCAAACAAUGAUUGCAAUGAUAUAGCAAAAGGUAUCAAACAACCUUAAUUUGAGACAAGUUCUAGGUCAUAUAUCACCAAAGCCACAAAAUGCCUUUCCACACAAUAUUGAAAGAGUUUUGAUAGGUACAUUACACCUUCAAACCAAUUGUUGGUCAAAAAUGUGCCGGUCAUAAAUGACUAUCCAGCCAUCUCAAUUUGAGACAAGUUUUGGUCCAUGUAUUCACGAGACCACAAUAUGCCUUUCCGCACUAUUGGUAGAAUUUGGAUAAGGUACAAUACGUCUUUGAAUCCGUUGUCUGCCAAAGGACUGUUUGACAACCGGAUCAUAAGGAAACCUCAUCAUAUGAUACCAUAUUGAGGUGUGCCCUUGUGUAUAUAUUAAAUGUGGCCUUAUAUGCCUCCAAUCCAAGAAUUAUACAAAUUGAACAGCAUUUGGUUCAUCGUCUAUAAUUCGUCGACCCCAAAUAUGAUAUUUUGGAGAUUGGUCUAAAACUCUUGAGAAAUAAUAUUUGAGGCAUAAUAUCCAUCAUCCUAAAGUUUUAUGUCAUUCGGAGAUGGUUUAACCCCUCAUCUAUAUUUAUCGGCAUCCAUAAUGACCUCUAGUCACCAAUUUUGAGAUUUCUCUCAAUCUAUAAGGAGUUUUCUCAAGGGACCUAGACUAUUGAGUUCUUGACUAAAUGCCCUAACAACCAUAUAAGUACAGCAUCCUAUGGAUCUCUCAUACGAGAGUGGCAAACUUUGCAAGAAUAGCCAUAAAAACUGUGCAAAGGCUUGGCACUAUUGCAUGAUUUCUCCCAAUAUAUGGAGAAUUUUGAGCCCAGAGUUUAUGGAAUGUAUGCCAUAGUACCCUCUACAAAAUUAUUAUACUCGCAAGGUUUAUAAUUCCAUGUGGUGGAGCGAUUGAGCUCGCAAUCAUUAUGAUCUACUGCAGCAUAAAUAAGUGUAUGUAUUUCCCUCGUAUGUGAUUCAUCUUAAUUGAGGUUUGAACUUGUGUUUGUUUCUGAGUCCUCUAUCAACCUACAAAAUUUCAUGUUAAGAAGAUUCAUAAUCAGAGAGUGGCAAUGAAAAUACACGGACAUGUUAGAACUGUUGUGCAAAUUGAUAGAUGACAUAUUAGAAUUGACCACUUUCCUUGAUUUUCUCAUUGAAUAUUGCAGUGAAUUUGGGUAGUUACAUUGUCAAAUUUAAACAUCAAUACAAUAUCGAGAUCAAACAAGGGCAUAACUUCUUACUAAAGCCACCUGGAGGUGUUUUCAAAUUCGAACAAGUAUACAACCUUAUCAUUUCAAACCAAAUCAUGAGAGAUAAUUGGAUAUAGUCAAUGAUUUAGAUAUGCUUCAUCAACAUCACUUCAGAAAGUCUAUUUAAACCCACUUCUCAAGGAUUGAACACCCCCCCUUUGUAUUUUCCAUCUUUGCGUGUGAUAUAGACAGAGGGAGAUACAAGAGAGUGACACUAUAUACUAAUUGCAUUGACAGUCAAGAGAUAGGCCCCCAAUAGUGUCAUUCUUUGUUAUGUGGUGCAAAGAUCAUCAAAGCGAGAUAAGCUGUUGAUUACUUGACUCCCUUGAAGCCUCAGUUCAAGAAGGAGUAGACCUGUGAUUAUACCUCUAUGUAAUCAAGUAUACCGGCCCUCAUAUGCCCCUUGGUAUUAAUAUUCACCAUUUGUCUGUAUAUUUUCAUUUUAUAUAUGUGCAUAUGCAAGCUUCAAGACCCGAAUCAAGGGUGCUCAACCUCGUAUAGAGGGGAUGUAAACUAUAACAGGAAUUGGAAGUUCCUAGAAAUCCUCACGUACCUAGUAUAUAUGUUAAAACCUUUAUAGUUUCCAUAUUAUGAAACUUAAGGGGGAAUUUGACUGCGAUUGUGUUAGUUCUCUGGUUUAUUUCUCUAAUAUAAAGUCAUAAUAUAACACAUUUCUAGGCAAUCAUUUGUCUAUGAAAAAUAUGAGCAUGUAGCUUGUUGUGACAUCACAGGAGGGCAUGGGGAUUAAGAGGAUCAUGUAAAGAGUGGGGACCAUAUUGAUUGUUACAGAGCAUGUGAGUGUAUGUUGUGAUAACAUAGUAGCACUAGUUUUCACAAAGGAUCCCAAGCAUCACAAAAAUAAAUAGAAUGUAUAGAUUGGAUAUUGCCAUGUGUAAGAGACAUUAUUGAGAGAAAAGAGACAGCCACGAGAAAUAAUCCAACUAGUAGCAUGGUAAAAGUUCUCAUGACUACACAUAAAGCUUAAUAGAAGUAUAGUGCUUAUUUCAAGGAAUUCGGAACUGGGAGUCCCUAAUUGAUUUUAUGCUCUUUCAGUACAUGGAUCUUAUUUUGAAUUAGCAUUUACCAUUUGUUUGAGAGGUUUAUAGUAAUAUGGUUUGUUCAAUGCACAUACACAUGGUUUGAUUGCGCAUUUACACUUGUGCACUAGAACACAUGUUCAUUGUUAGAUAAAUCAUAAAUAGGUAAGAUCCACUGCACUCAUAAUGUUGACAGCCCUCGAUGUUAGGGACAUUGGAAGAGGAGACACACACAUGGUUUGUAUUGCCUUGAUGAGUGAUCAAGAUAAGAUUCCAUAGUUACGAGUUAACAUGGUCCAUAUGAUAUCUCAACAGAACUGCAACCAGUAUAAUGGCCAAGUGUGAACAAUGAGGCUGUUCAAGUUCACUACUUGGGCAUGACCUCAGGAUCCAUUAGCUGCAACAAAGCAUAUGGUUGCAUCUAAACUAGGACCUGCAUAGUAUGUAUCUGUCAUAGAUUCUAGUAUUUUUAUAAUUAUACAUUGCAUGUGACUCAUAUUGCAUGUUCUAAGCUACAACACCUUUAUUUAUAGAUAUAUGUAUAAGUUGAGCCCUUCUCCCUCUUACACCAUGCGAGAUAUAACCUAUCAACAAUGACCAUGAUUGCCCUUAGAGACCUUGGUCCUCUAUUAAGAAAUGGAAGUUUCAUGUCUUUAAUUUAGCAUGCCAUCCCUAUGGCCAUGUGUGAUUCGGCCGGGUUCAGAGAGAGCUAGGAAAGCGUUAGAUCAAAGUGAAAGACAAUUGGCAAUGUACAAUAGUUGGUGCUAGUGCACACCAUGGCAUUCAUCAGUCAUGGCAAUAUAAAUGUUUUAUAAAGAAUAUUCUUUUGUAAAUAUUUUAGAAAAAAUAUAUAUUAUUCUAAAAAUGAAUUUUUGGCUUACAUAAGAAUAAAGUUUUAUUGGAAGAGUUAGGUAUGUAUGCAAGAAGAGGUUGACUGUUCUCUUGAGAUAAGAGAGAAGAGUUGUUCUUGGUUAGUUUGAUGGACACUUAAUGUGUUUCUCUCUAUAGUAAUUCAUUCUUUCUCAAGGGUCUCACGACGCAUCUCAUGAUAGAGUAUAUGUCAGUCUUUAAAUUAUGAUGUAUCGCUAGAUGAUGAUGGGGGACCGACAUCUUUAAGUACACCCACUAUGGAACGAGUGAGAGAUGUUGAUUUUUAUGGUCUAGACAUUGUGGGUUGGGACCUAAUCACGUUUCCUUGUGUUGUUUUGAUGUGAGAGACAGUAAGUAGGUAAAAGAAUCUAAAGUGUAACGAUUUCCAAAGGAUAAAGUAUAUGAAAUCCUAUUAUUUUUUUAUGAAAAAAUAUCCAUAUCGGAGAGAUGGCAUCCUCCUUGUGAGGAGUUGUAUAGAGAGAGAGGUGAGGUCCCUUUAAUCUUUUCUUUUGGGUUUCUAGAGCCCAUAUUCCUUUCGUCCAUCUAUAUUCUCUCCUGAACACUUUAUUGAAAAGGGAAACGACCCAUAUGCAAUUCAAGAGCUCUUAGGCCGUCCAUCAAAAUUUUGGGAUUUGUGUUGUGUAAAAUUUGUUUUUAGUUCUAAUAAUUUAAAUCAACCUAAGGAUGUGAGCAUCAAAGUUUUGACUUGAAUGAACAACCCAUAAAAAUAGAAGUAAAGAUACGAGAGAAUUGAACCAACUGAAAUAGGGUACUUUGAUUAAAAAAGAAAAAAGCAGAAGAAGAAAAGAGAUACAUAAUCGCUAUUUGAUCACUACAUUUUUUGUAUUUCCACUACGUUGGAGUUCACCUAUUGAAUCCGAUAAAAAACCAUAGUGAAAGCAGUUUAAGUGAACCUUGAAAUGUGUUAUUCUCCCUACUCUUUUCUACGUCGAAGCACCAUCUAGUUACCCUAAGUUCAAAAUUUCAUGCAAUUCUUUGGCCAUACUGGGGCCUCAAAAAGUCUCUCUCUCUCUCUCUCAAUCUCCCCGCACCCCCCCCCCCCCCCCAGGGGUUACAUCAUGUCCAAAUCACUUCAGCUUCUAAAACCUUCUUCAUGUUAUAGGGAUUGAAUACUAUGGGACCAUUUAUCAUUGUUACUAGAAGGUUAUAGUCACUCCUAACCUUUAGAUGUAAAAUUAAAAUGCUUGGGAUAUAUAACAAAGCUCGAGAAAUUAUUUUUUGAAUUUUGGGUCUAAUCAGUGGCGCACUUACAAUUGCACAAUUUUUAAUUGAUAAAUAAUAGUGAUUAUGACCUCAUUGCACUAAAAGUAAAUAAUGUUUUGAGAAAAUUAUAUAAAUAUUCGUUAUACUUUACAUUAUUACAGAUGUACCAAAUAGUUUCCGUUAUUACAUGUAUGUCUGUUUUUUAUAUUUUACAACGUAAUUUUUUAAAAAAGAUUAUCUCUACCCUUUUUCAGAUGUUGAACAACAGAAUUGGAGGGUUUUUCGAAUGUUUAUCGUCCGAAAAUAGGCCGAAAGUUUAAUGUUCACAUUUUCAUUUUCGUUGAAGGGUUAUGUCGAUACAUUGUAUUCCUUGUGAAAACGGUUUCGGAUGUUGGAUGUCCAAAAAUAUCAUAUUUUUGGAUGUUCAUCAUUCGAAAAUGACUGUGAAAUUCCAAAGACUUUUUGAAAAUUCAAAGUCAUAUUUUCAGAUGUUGAACAUCUUAAAAUAUGACAUUUUCAAAUGUCCAACAUCCGAAACGAUUUUUGGAUGUUCAACAUCUGAAAAAUUCAACACCUGAAAAUGAGAAUGUGAAUGUUAAACUUUCGGCCUAUUUUCGGAUGUUGAACAUUCGAAAAACCCUUCAAUUCGGUUAUUCAAUAUCCAAAAAAGGGUAAAGUCGUUUUUUUUAAAAAAUUGCGUUAUAAAAGGUAAAAAACGGACAUACAUGUAAUAACAGAAACUAUUUGGUACAUCCGUAAUAACGCAAAGUAUAACGGAUAUGUAUGUAAUUUUCCUUAAUUUCUUUGUACAAUUUUCCUAAAUGAUAUGUUGUUGUUAAUCUUGCUAAAAAUAUUAUCUAAUGCAUAAAAAAUGCAUCUAAUCAAUUUAAGAUUCCAAAUCCGCAAAAACACUUGGAUUCACCUUGUGAUCAAUUUUUCAUUUUGAAAGACAUAUUUAGACUCUUAGAACCCUAGAUCAGAUUAUUGCACAACACAAAUGGCACUAUAGAAAAGGGCGACCUAGUCUAUGCAAAAUUUCACCCUAAUGCUCUUAUUAUUUUACCUUAUCAUAUUGAUCCAAGUAUUUAGAAUAGCAGCCAUAACUUCUUCCACCCUGAAUCACACUUGCAUUCCAAAUUGGCCCUCUCUUUCCAAUGAUUGAAGAACCCAGCCUUACCCUCUCUUUCUCUCUCUCACUCUCUCUCUCUCUCUCUCUCUCAUGUUUUGUGUUCCACUCACCCGUUGUGUUCAUGAGUUGUUUGAAUGUGACAAGUGCAUUUUGAGAUGGGCUGGGCUACUUCCUAUUUUUUUUGUUUUUCUUCCUCUGUUAAGACUCCUUUCCCUUUCGUUGGUGGGAACAAGAACCACAUAAAGAAUAAGGACAUGCCACUUCCCCUCUCUCUCUCUCUCUCUCUCUUUGAUAUUCUUUCAUCGUCGCCGACUUCUGUUCUUCACCUAUUGCUAACCCCUCUGUUUGUUUCUCGACAGCCCUUUGAAAGUUUGUGGAUUUAAACUCGUUGAGAAGUGGACCCUAGUAUUUUCCAUUGAUCAAAGAAUCAUUGCUAUCAUUAUUAUUAUUCUCAUUGUUACGAAAAAAACAACCUAUAUAGUUUAAGCUUAUUUUAUAGAAAGUAAAGUGGCAUCUCAAAACCCUAUCAGAAACUGUAAUUAUGGAGUGUGAAAAUUUUAAUUUUAUCAUUUUCAUCUUGACAAUCAGGAAUCUGCAAAAUGAAAGAUCUCAAACCUUGGAAAUGAUGCAUUUUGUAACAUGUUUAAUGGAUCAUCCAUUUGACAUGUUUGCAAAUUUGUCACACCUUCAUUGUUUUUAGGGCUUAAAAUAUCCUAAUUACGAAUAAAAACAAGGAAAAAUUAUGUCCGCACCGCAAUUGAAUGUAGUAAUUAUGGACCAAUAUAGAUGCACUUUUUACUAAUUUUUUUCAGGAGAAUUUUUUAUUCCAAAAUUUAAAGUUUCUAGUGGAAAUUUGAACUGAGGAUAACUUUCACCAUAAAUAAAAAUAUUUUGAUAGGGUUGCGGCCCCAUCAAAGUAAUGUCUCGCCACUAAACUCAUUGAAAAUUGAAAAUUGUAGUUUUGGAAUUGAAAAACCGUCAAAUCAAUCAUCUUGCCUUGAUCAUUGUGGUUGUAAAAAAAAAAACAAAAAAGGAUUUCAAGCAUAAAAUAGUGUUAUAUUGUAACAUAUUAUCUUUAUUGUCUAUUUCACCCUAAAAACAAGUGUUUGGAUGAUCUGUAUCAUUUUUUGAACUUCAAGUUUCAUAGUUAAUUUUAAAAAUCGAUUUUGUACCCAUCAUUAAAUUUUUCGAUGCCCAAAGGGCUUUUCUGACAAGAUUUCGAUGUGAGGGUUUUUUUUUUUGCGUUUUCAUAAAGCCUAUGCCCUAAAGAACCUGCAACCUUAACAUAAAGCUACGCCACCACACUCAAAUCAUUAUUCCAGUGGGAAAGCUAGGAUUCGAACCCUAGGCAAGCUUUCAAAUACUUCGUCCCUUGCCAAAGCCCAGGGCUUAUUGUUGGUUUUAGAGAGAGAAAGAGUAUUGAUGGCUUUAGAGAGAGAAAGAGAGAUUUAGAGAGAGAAAAUGAGCUUUGACUGAUCCAUUCUGCACCACAGGAAUCGUAUCCAAGGCAUGGAGGUGGGGUUCAAUUAUUCAGCAUCUACCAAUUUCCUUUCCUUGUCAACCCUCACCUCACCCAACAAGAUCUAGGGAAUAAGUACAAGUGGUUCUCAUCUUUUUUUAUUUAUUUUAGUUUCUCUCUCCUAUAGAUGCACCACCACUGUGCGCACACAUUGCCCACUUCGGGGCAUAUGGAGACAUUAGAGAUAUUCCUCCCAAUUAGGCCAAGACCCUACUAUUUAACAUUGUUGGGAACCCACACCUAGCUUUUUCAGUGCCAUUAUUGCUUGUGUGGGCCAGUAUCAUUUUGGAGAGAGAGAGAGAGUGCUCUCUCCCUCAUCUACUCCCUAUUCAUACCUUAUUUACUUGAUAAGAGUUUACAUAGAGUCCAGGCUCUAAACAAUAAAUAAGAGUUUACAUAGAGUCCAGGCUCUAAACAAUUGAAUUAGAACGCACCUCCAAAUUUUAUCUAAAAGAGGUUGUUUUGAUGCUUUAAUCUUUUCAAAUUGAUCAUCUCGACAUGAAUAUGUAUGGACAUGAGAAAACAAUGUAUUUCAAAUUUUGGAAAUAGUGCAUCUUAUAAUGCAUUUUAGACCGUCAAUUUUCAAGCACUACUUUUUAAACUUUAAACUUUACUAUUAGAUAUGAAAAUAUAUUUUAAUGCUAUCACAAAAAUUUUCAAUAUUAAACCGCAUUCCUUGACACUAUUUGAAGAUACGUUCUGCUUUGAUUGUUUAGAGCCUCGGCUCUAUACAAACCGCACCCUUUACUUAAUAGGCAUCUCAAAACUGGAUAUUCUAACCUCACAAUUCAUAACGGGUAGAGAGAGGUUUCUACCUCAUCUGCAACCUAUUCACACUUCAUUUACUCAAUAUCAAUAGCUCAUAAUAGGUGGAGAGAGGUUUCUACCUUAUCUGCAGCCUAUUCACACUUCAUUUACUCAAUAUCAAUAGCUGGAUAUUCUAACCAGGCCAUAAAACCACGACUUAGGGAUGGGAAUCGGCCCAUGUCCAGGGCCGAGGUACUCAGCUCGGAGUGGCUCUUGGCAAACCAAAAAUUAUUAAAAAAAUAAAAGUUAUAAAAAAUAAUCUCAACAAAUAGGAAAAUAUGUUAAAAUAAACUUAAACAAAAUACAACUAAAUAAGGUUAAAAAAAUAGUAAAAAAAAAGUAUUUAAAAAAAAAAAUCAAUUUGUGAUGGGGGCAUUUUAAAAAGGAAAAAAUUUAUAUUAGGAUGCAACCUUAUAAUGUAGAAUUACGGAUGCACCUCAAAAAUCCAUCGGAAAAGGUAGUUUUAAUGUUGAAAAACCCUUUGAUUGAUCAUCUCGACAUCGAGAUGUAUGACCAUGAAAAAUAAAAAGAUUUAAGUCUCAGAAAUAGUGCAUUUUACAACAUAUUAUCUACACCGUCCAUCUUCAAGAUUUUCAUAUGUUUAAAGAUCUACUUGAUUUUGACCAUUUUUGAAAUUUAAAAUUUUAUAAUUGAUAUAAAAUUAGAUUUUGAGAUAAUCCUAAAAAUAUUUUACAUCAAAAUUAUAUACCAUGAUAAAAUUUGAAGGUGCACUUACUACCUCUAGAACUACGAAUGCAUCCACAUGCUAACUGCACCCUUUUAAAAAUAAUCCCAAAAGAUGGAAAAAUGUAAAAAUAAGUAUUCAUGGCCAAAGUCUUUCCAAUUUUUGUCAAAAUGAUGGAAAAAUUAAAAUAUUUAUUACGAAUGAUUUUAUUUUUUACUUUAAUUUUUUGAAUUUAUUUUAAGAUCCACCGAACUCGGGAUACACGAACUUACGAGGGUGGCAAAUCCGAGUUACUUGAGAGGGCACGAGUGGGUUCGCCAGAGUUUUACUGCGCUGAAUUCUAACCUUAGGGAAAUAAUCGAUGAAAUGAGAGAGAGAGAGAGAGAGAGAGAGAGAGAGAGAGAGAGUUACAUUGAAGUAGAAUUCAAUGAGCUAAUAUGGGGUCUUAAAUGCUUGUCUUUUAAUGAAGACUAAAGUGUUGUCUCUACAGUGGGGCACCUUAUUUGGAACAAAAAAGGACGUUAUGGGUACGAAGUAAUGAGUCCUGUUCCUUGGUCUCCACCAUUUAUUGACAUAUCAUUCUAUAAUUUCUUGGCAUGAAAAUGGCAAAUUCAUUGCUUGCUCUUCAUAUUACUUGGCACCAAAAAAGAAAAAAGAGUGGAGCUCAAUGAGAGUCUUUUAUCUUUUUCUCUCUUUUUUCUCUUUGUCAUUGACAAUAAUUGUGACCAUCCCAUGAGAAUACAAAACAAACACAAAAAGUUGCUUCAGUUCGUAAGGAGAAAUGAAUGAAGUCCAUGAUGUGUCCAACAAGGAUGAAUAGUAAUCCCAUUGAUGAAAGUGAAAGAUAAUUGAUUAUGAAGAGGAGUGAGAAAGAAUGAUAAUGAGGUGUGAGAUAGAAGGAAGAGGAAAAGAAUAAGGGGAUUGAGAUAGACAAGUAACAUCAACACACAAACAGUGUGAUGACACAAGCUAUGCCCCUCUAAUGUGAAGCAUCCAUGAGUGCCCCACAAUUAUAAAUAGACAAAGAAAAAGUAGAACAUCCAAUAGAAAUAUCCCCACUCCCCAAACAUGAUUCCCCACACUGCCCUUCUCCCCUCCCCUUAAAUCCAAAAAACCCACCCUCUCUCCCUGGUUUUAAAAUCCAAAACACCCACCCUCUCUACCUCCCUGGUCUUUGAGAAACCAGAGAGAAGAAAUAAGAGCCCCCCUCCCCCUCUCUCUCUGUUACUUCCUAGUUCUCAAAAAAACUGAAGGAAAAAGAGGAAGAAACACCUCCCCAGCGUAGCCCCUCCCCCCCCUUCUCUCUUCUUCCCUUCCUUUUUCUUCUUCUCUCUCUCUCUUAAUUCAAAUUAUCAUUAUUAUCAUCAGAGCCUUGUCUCAAUUAUUUGAGGUCGAGUCUCUCUCAAUUCAAAUAAUCGUCUAAAUAAAUAACAGGGCCCUAUACUUUUCUCACUACCACUUCUCUCUCUUUACCUCUUCAAACAGAACAUCUAGAAAGAAAAGGACCCGAGUUCAUGAGUGGAGGGGAAGAGGGAGAAGAUUCAGCUGGGUGGCUCAACCUCAGCCUAUGCAGCGGAGGCAACAGUGACUCCGCCGUUGACAAAGAUGGAAGGGUGUUGGGAAAGAAGGUCUUCUCAUGCAACUUUUGUGUGAGAAAAUUUUACAGCUCUCAAGCACUUGGUGGCCACCAAAAUGCGCACAAACGUGAGAGGGGUGUUGCUCGACGCACUCAAAGAGCAGCGGUGCCACCACCGCUCUCACUCCGAACGCUCGGUGUCCAUCCCCACUCUCUGUUACUGCAAAAGCACGGGCGUGGGCAGGGGCCUGCCGCACGCUUUGAUCCUUUGCCAUGGGCACGCACGCCUUUCCUUCUCUCUCCUGACGACGACACUGCUGCUAUGGACUUGGCGUGGCCUGGCAGCUUCCACCAUCCCUCCACAACCACGACAUCGCCGCUUCCUAACCUUGAUUUGUCGCUGGGUCUCUGAUCUCUCUUCUUCUUGGGGUGAAAAUUCGAAAGGAAUUUUUGUUCGUGGAUUACAAUUAUAAAUAAAAUAUAAAUUUGAGUGUAUGUCUCCUUUCCUUUGGGUGACUUAAAUUAGUUUUGAUCCAGCAAAUCUCAAGGUUUUUUAGCUCAACUGCUUCCUUAGUUGAGCUACGGGCUUGAACACCAGAAAGGUAGAUUAUAAUUAGUGGACUAUAAAAACC